UUGUUCUCCCUUUGGUGCUNUCUCCUUCACNNUCUCCUUCNUUCUCUCCGUUNAAGNCAUUGCAUUUGCUCNUUCUCCCUUUGGUGGCUNUUAUCGUCCUCCUCGNUCGUCUUCUUUCUUUCUUUCUUUUUUCAUUUUCUCUUCUCAUUCAUUUCUUUCAUUUCCCCUUUCUAUUGUUCAUUUUCCAUUUCUUUUUCAGAUUGGGUCGUAGAACCAUGGGCAGACGAAGCUACAGCGGCGGUUGUGUGGACCAGCAGAUGGCGAAGCUCCCACUCAAAGGUAGAGAGGAAUCAUUCACGUUUGUAUCUGAGGUACCAUUGUUUUUGUUUGAUAUUUUCUUUUGCUUUGCUCAUUCGGUGUUCAAAAUUUGAAGCCCUAAGUCGCAUCUCUGAAAGGGUUGUUCUGUGUUCUUAUUUGUGUUUUAUUUUGAAGAGAAAUAUAGAGGGUUUUGGAAAGAAGAAUAGAGAGAAUGAAAACCGAGAAAUAAGUUUAACUUUUGUAAUGUUUUACUUAACUUGUGUGCAGCUUGGUGUUUGGCUCGUGAUUGUUACAAAUAAUUGGUGAUUAUCACAUCAAGUAAGCAACCAUAAUCUGGACUAUGGUACUGCUGGAAUGGCACCAAGUUCAUACGCUGGGUCACUUUAUAUUUUUUUUUCUCUUUUUAUUGAUGUGAGACUAGGAUGCUUAUAUUCAAUUGUCUGGUUUUUGAACUCCUGUUGUGCCUAUAAUAUGCGUUUGAUUGAAAUUUAAUGACAUGUUUAGUUAUAAUUGUUGAAUUACUGGAUUGAAAAUUGAUUGUAUGUACUGGGAAGGCAAUCAAUCUGCUAGGUUUGUAAUUUCUCAUAGUCUUAUUAAUGAAAAAUCUAGUUUCAGUACAAUAUUGUUUAGCUUGCAAAGUUUGGUCAAAUUGAAAUGAUGGUUGCUAUUAAGAUUGAAUAAAGUCACUUUUUUUUAUUGAAAUGACAUUUUGGCUUUCUGAUUAUGUGAUUCUUAGUUUUUGGAAUGGGUAGAGCAUGUUAAGAACGUUGAUUUUAGCUUCCAUGUAAAUCUUUAUUUAUACACAUUCUAUCAUAUUUUCAUUUUUUUUAAGAUAAUGUUGGAGGACGUCUAUAUUAUUGAUAAUUGAAAGAAUUUCACAUCCUAUUUUAGUUAGGCAGAUAAUUUUAAUAUUAUGAAGUGUUUCUAAUAAUAUAAAAGAUAAGAAUGAUGGAAUGACCUAUGCAUACAUGGAAAGCCUAUAACUCGUAACAUCAAGCAUAUUUUCAAGAACCACCAAAGAAAAAUGAUAAUAAUAUAAAGGGUAAAUUUAUCAAUAGUUGAUAAUCCUAUCUUACCAAAUUUUGGAAAUCUUAAUUCCUUCUACGAAAAGACCACUACUGCAACAAAUAAGAGGCUUCAAAAAGCUAGUGAUUGAAAGUGCAUAAUGGGGAACUUUCAUUGUCGAAUCACCUAUUGGGGUUGCAUAGAUUAAUUCACUUAUUGUGGUUCUGUUUUAAUGGUAUUAUGAGUCUGGAGAUGUCUUUUUUUUCGAUUGUAAUCUGCUGCAUAGUUUUGUGUUUUUUUUUAAAUCAUCAUUGAAUCUAUUUCUUUAUUUCUUAUAAAGAUAUGGAAUAUUUCAUUCGUCCUUUUGUGUGAGUUUGGAUUAAAUUACCUUUUUAGUAACACAAUCUCUAUUACUUAGUCAUAUAUUGCUUGUGGAUUUUAGGCAAGUACAGAUGUAAAUGUUCAUCAAGAUUUAUUGGAUGUUAAACUUUGGCAGGUAAGUAAAUUCUUUUGCUUCAUCAUAUUGAAUAAUGUACUUAUCUGGAACAUGACUGUUAUGAAUUUCCUCUUAUUUUUAGGUGCACACUCUUUUUAAAGGAUUGGAGAAAAUUACUGCUAGUGCAAACAUUCCAAUGUUGGUUUCUGGGGACUUUAAUUCAGUUCCAAGAAGGUCUGAUUACUUUCUGGUUAUAUUAUUUGUUUCUUCUGCAAGGAUCUUUUAUUAGUCUCAAUAAUUUGUUUCUUAAGGUUAUAUUCUUAUUUUUUUGUAGUGCUCCUCAUGCACUUCUUGCAAUAGGAAAGGUAGACCCAUCCCAUCCUGAUUUAACUGUUGACCCACUUAAUAUAUUGCGUCCUCACAGCAACUUGGUUCAACAGUUGCCACUGGUAAUGUAUUGAAGAAUUGCUUAUAUAUUAUGUAUUUUCCCCAAAAUGGUGGUUCCUGAUUUUAGUUUUUUUUUUUUUUUUCUGAUUAAGGAUUUAUAUCAAUUUUAGGUCGGUGCUUAUUCAUCCUUUGCAAGAACAGUUGGUCUUGGAUUUGAGUAGCAUAAACGAAGACUAGACAAUGUAACAAACGAACUGACAAAUUUGUGGUAUGAUACGAUAAUUCAUUUUCUGGAUCAAUUUUAUUGAUGUGAUUUAAUGAUGUGUUAAUGAAACUGUUAAUGAAUUUCUGUGGUAGGGUGAAAACAUGACCAAAUUCUUUUGCAUGUUGUACAAUAGACCCGAAGGGAGUAUAGGUCCACUGUCCGUUAAACAAGCAAAUAUCCCAUCCCAACCGAACUUGUAAGUUGUUUUAUUAAUUGUAAUGAAAUAUUUGGAUACUUUAUUAUCGUUUGUUGUAAUAACUGAUAAAUGGUUGUAUUAUUUAAGAUAUGAUUGUGGAGUUAUCAUGUUAAAAGCCAUGGAAAUGUGGGAUGAAGAGGAUAGAUACAACGGGAAAAGCAUGCCGGAGUACACAAAUGUAAGUAUGAAUUUCAUUGUUAGCAUUGUUUGAUGAUUUUGUUAAUUAUAUCUAAAGUUUACAACUAAUUUUUUUCAGGAGGAGUUGAGUCAAAUUAGGAAGAACUAUGUGAAAUAUUGGAUCCUAGACAACGACAACAUUCGACUAUUUGAUGCGUUAAAUCAAUAUGGGUUGUUGUAAGAUUUUGAUGGAUAUGUACAAAUGAUUAGUGUAUUCAUUUCAUAUGUAUUUAGACGAACAGUGAUAUAUGUAUUCAUCUUCAAUUGUUCAUCUUCAAUUGCAAAAAGUAAUGAUUGUUACAGACAAUGAUAUAUGUACAGAAAGUUGAAUUUGAAUCCCAUAUGAUUUAUAUUCAACCACUGUUAUGUACAAUGUGUAUCUAUUUAUUUCAAAUGUAUACGAAUGUGAAUUAUUGUUUGUAUAUUGAUCAUAUUGACUUAGGAUAUCAUCCAACUACUUUUAGUCAACACAAGACCUUCCUCAAUGGAAUUUGGGGUGCCCAAAAUCAAGUCUCCACCCCCAACACACAACUUAAAACCAAAAUCAUUAAAACCCAAUCCAAAGUUUGCCAAAAAGUGAAAAUUUUACAUCGUGGUCCCCUGUGUACAAAAAAGUUGUUCCUUUAGAAGAACUUUCUGUACAAAUUCAAGAAAACAUUCACGUAAACGUUUACCACCAAUUUGUAAACGAUUACAACACCCUUUUUCAAUGCACUUGACUCAGGAUUUCAUCCAACUACUUUUAGUGAACACAAGACCUUCCUCAAUGGAAUUUGGGGUCUCCAAAAUCAAGUCUUCACCCGCAACACAAAACUUCAAACCAAAAACAUCAAAAACCAAUUAAAAGUUUGCCAAAAAGUGAAAAUUUUACAUCGUGGUCCCCUGUGUACAAAAAAGUGGUUCCUUUAGAAGAACUUUUUGUACAAAUUCAAGAAAACAUUCGCGUAAACGUUUACCACCAAUUUGUAAAUGAUUACAACACCCUUUUUCAAUGCACUUGACUAAGGAUUUCAUUCAACUACUUUUNGUGAACACAAGACCUUCCUCAAAGGAAUUUGGGGUCUCCAAAAUCAAUUCUCCACCCCCAACACACAACUUAAAACCAAAAACAUCAAAAACCAAUCCAAAGUUUGCCAAAAAGUGAAAACAGGCCAUUGUAAACGUUUACAGGGCAGUGUAAACGUUUACACGAGAGUAUUUGUGAAAAUGUACAAAAAGUUCUUCACAGGGAGCCAGUUUUUAUAACACAGGGGACCAAGUAUGUUUUUUGUGAUUUUUUCACAUGAGGACAUUGUGUGUUAUUGGGAAUGGUUGGUAAAGUGUGUUAGGAGUGUUGGAGGUCAUGGUUGGGCACCCUAGGUUCAUGGAAUUUGUCUAUGUUAGUCACUUGAGCAACUUAAGUGAAAAAAGGCCAUUGUAAAUGUUUACAGGGCAUUGUAAAUGUUUACACGAGAGUUUUUGUGAAAAUGUACAGAAAGUUCUUCACAGGGAGCCAGUUUUUAUAACACAGGGGACCAAGUAUGUUUUUUGUGAUUUUUUCACAUGAGGACAUUGCUUGUUAUUGGGAAUGGUUGGCAAAGUGUGUUAGGAGUGUUGGAGGUCAUCGUUGGGCAACCUAGGUUCUUGGAAUUUGUCCAUGUUAGUCACUUCUGCAACUUAAGUGAAAACAGGCCAUUGUAAACGUUUACAGGGCAGUGUAAACGUUUACACGAGAGUAUUUGUGAAAAUGUACAGAAAGUUCUUCAGAGGGAGCCAGUUUUUAUAACGUAGGGGACCAAAUAUGUUUAUUGUGAUUUUUUCACAUCAUUUAUGGCAGAAAGCAAUGUCCAACAUUGGAUUUAGUUUACCUUAAUGAAUAAUAUUACAGAAUAACAUCUUAAUGAUAAACAUCAAGGCAGCUGAAACAUACAAGUAAUCGUGACUAAGUUUUUGAAGUUGUCAUAAUAACAUCUUACACUUAUCCAUAGAAAUUAAAAGUUCAGCUGCAUAACAAAACAUUGAACAAAAUAUAUCUUAAUUAGACUAGUUGUUGUUUGGUUCUUUGGACGAUGAUGGUUGGUCAGAUGGUGGUGGAAUGAAUUUCUUGAGGAUUUCAUUGACAUGCCUGUUGUUUUCUGCCCACAUAGGCAGUCGAAUAACAGGUUUUGGUGUUUGUUUGACUAGUUCAAUCGUAGGUGGUCCAAUUUCAGCCGGAAACACCAUCACCACGUUGCGAUGCACUAUAUUGACACAACCACACCAAGAUCAAAGAGAUGACACGCCCACACCAACGACGAAGAACGAUGUAACGAACAAAGAGAUGAGACACCAAAAUCAGAACAAAUGAGAUGGAGAAAUCGAAAGAUUGGAAGAACGAAUGCAGCGACAGUGAGAUGGAGAAAUGAGAUGAAAGAGAACGUUCCAAUCCUAUGAAACCAGACAAGGACAAAACGGAAAAUCAAAAAUUCAAGUCUGAACCUCUGCAAUGACGUCACAAAUUCAAUUUAAAAAAAAAAAUAAAAACGAGCCAAUCCCCUGCCGACACUUGACAAUGUCAAAAUGGUGUUGGAAUUUUGGUGUCAAAAUAUCGGGACGCUUUAAAAUAUGCAUUUCAGAUGUUACUUAUUAUUAUUUGAUUUUUUUUAUAUAUAUUUUUCCAUUGAAAACUGCCCCAAGAAAAAUGUUGUGUUAGAAGCCCAUUGGGCCUCUGUAAACUCAUGCCGUCCGAUUGGUUACAUGAAAUGAAUCACAACCGUGGGAUUUAGGUUUCUCAAAAACCCAAAUUCUUUACUUAUAACCUCCCCAUGCGACAGUUUUCUUUUUCUCGCUUCCGUUCCGCUCCCUACCCUCACAGUCUUCCGCACCACACUUCAACGAAGAAGAGGUUAAAGAGACGGCGCGUUUGCUGUCCGCCUUGACCGAGCCAGAGCUUCGUCUUGGCCCUCGAUUUUGCCGUGCAAAACUCACGUUCACAGACAACCCCGUCGUCAUCAUCAACAACAAUGGCACCAAAACAAACAAAGGCAGAGAAGAAGAUAGCUUACGAUGGGAAGCUGUGCCAGCUUCUCGAAGAAUACGGUCAAAUCCUCGUGGUCAACGCCGACAACGUGGGGUCAAACCAGCUCCAGAACAUUCGGAAGGGUCUCCGCGGAGACUCCGUCGUCCUCAUGGGGAAGAACACCAUGAUGAAGCGCUCCGUCAGAAUUCACGCUGAGAAAACCGGCAACAACGUGUAUCUCAGCCUCAUCCCUCUCCUUGUCGUGAGUUUCCCUUUCUCCUUAAUCUGUUUAAGCUUUCAUUGUUUUGAUUAUGCUUGUUUUGUUCAAUUAAUUGCAAUGAGUCUUGGUGUUUUAACUGCUUGGUUGACAGAACUUGUUUUGCGUUGUAUUAGGGCAAUGUGGGUUUGAUUUUCACCAAGGGCGACUUGAAGGAGGUCAGUGAAGAGGUUGCCAAGUACAAGGUAAAGUGAUAUUUUUCAUCCUCUUUUAUUUUAUAUUCAUAUUUUAUUUAUUUUUUUUACAUUUUGUAUAUUGGGUAAUGUUGCUUCUUUACUAUUGCUGCUGGUAUGUGUUGCUACUCAUUUUAGUAAAUGUAUCUCUUUAGUAGUUGUUUCUAUUGUUAUAGUACCACGAUCUGGAUUACUUCGUCAUAGUAAAGUGCUAAUAAUAAGUGUAAUUUUGAACAAUUUGUUCCAUGGUUUUAUUUGUGAAGUUUUGUUUAAAACACAUUGUCCGAGUUGUUAAGAAUAGGGGAGUUACAUUUUUGCUGGUUUCUUGUUUUACAAGUAUUAGUUUCAAUUUUCUAUUUUUGCUGGUUUAUUUUAAUUGAAUGUUUGUUCAAACAUUGUUCUUUCAACAGGUUGGAGCACCUGCUCGUGUUGGUUUGGUUGCACCAAUUGAUGUCGUUGUUCCUCCUGGCAACACUGGUCUCGAUCCAUCUCAGACCUCUUUCUUCCAGGUUAGAUAUUUCUUAAAAACUAAUCUCUAUAGUGAAAAAUGAGGGCCGAAAGUGUUAAAAAUCUAGUAGUAAUAAACCAAAUUUUUAGGAUGCUCUUUAUUUAGAAACUGAGAAAUAAUACCAUUUUAAAGAGUUUUUAAAAACUGCUCUAAUAAAUUAUAAAUUUCUGUUUUCUGAAACAUAUUAAGUAGUUCUUAAAUUAUUAUUGUUGUUAUUAUUAUUAUUAUUUAUUUGGAUUGUAUGUUUGCGUGUGUUCUAUUUAGGUCCUUAACAUUCCGACCAAGAUUAACAAGGGUACUGUGGAAAUCAUUACCCCUGUGGAACUCAUUAGGAAGGGAGAAAAGGUUGGAUCUUCCGAAGCUGCAUUGCUUGCCAAGCUUGGCAUAAGGCCCUUCUCAUAUGGGCUUGUGGUCCUUUCUGUUUAUGAUAAUGGCUCAGUGUUUAGCCCUGAGGUCCUUGAUCUUACCGAGGAUGACCUCAUUGAAAAGUUUGUUGCUGGUGUUUCGAUCGCCACUUCUCUUUCAUUGGCUAUCUCAUUCCCAACCCUUGCAGCUGCACCACAUAUGUUUGUGAACGCCUACAAGAAUGUUCUAUCUGUUGCUGUUGAGACAGAUUACUCUUUCCCUGAGGCAGACAAGGUCAAGGAGUAUCUCAAGGUAAUAUUUUUACGUUUUGACUGUGUAGGUUAUGUCUCCCCAUCUUAUUUAUUUACGAGUUUUUAUUGUAAAUGCAGGACCCAAGCAAAUUUGCAGUAGCUGCUGUUGCUGCUCCUGCUGCUGAUUCUGGUGCUCCAGCUGCUGCAGCAAAGGAAGAGGAAAAGAAGGAAGAGCCAGCUGAAGAAUCUGAUGAUGACAUGGGUUUCAGUUUGUUUGACUAAAUUAUAAAUUCUUAUUGAGGUUGCUUUUCAAGUUUUUUCUUUUUUGAUGUUUGAAUUGAUGAAACCUGUUUUUGGUUUUUGGUUUUAGGUGUUGUAUCGUUUGCUGUUUAUCCUAUUCACGUUAUAUCCUGACUAGUUUUUUAAUUUAAAUUUUCCAAAUUAUAAUACUUAAACAUCAGUAUUCAUUUGCUAUGCAAAUAGUUAACUGCAAAUAGUUAACUUUAGAAAAUGCAAUUUAUAGUUGGGAUAUUUAGUUUUCACAAGUCACUGACCGAUAAAUUUCAUAUCGAAUGAUUUAACGCUAUAAUUCCAUGACUGAUAAAUUUCAUAAGUCGCUGUUCUUUUAUAAAAUUAGGAAGUUACGCCUCUUAUUCCUAGCCAAACGGACAAGAUGAUUGUGAAUUUGAACAAAGAUAAUAUAAGUGUGAUAUGUGUCGAAGUUAAAUGAUGAUGAUUGUUGAAUUAUUUGUGGACCAACGUUUCAUAUCACGAUAAACAAUUUAAUCUAUAUUAUAGUUCAUUUAUUUGAAUAUAUUUUUUGCCAUUUUAUAUAAUUUUAUAUUACGAACUUUUCUAAAAAGCCUUACCCUAACUUAUUUUGGUUGUUGAAACUUUAACCAGUAACUCAAGAUUUAAAUCAUUUUUUAAUCUUCUAGUCAUACAAUGCCAAUUUAAUGGAGAACCGUGCUGAUGUUUACUAUCUUGCAUUUCAAUAUCUUUAAAUUGUUGAAGUUUUUCUAUCCAAAACCAAAGUAGAACAUGUUUAAAGGAAUUAUUACGUCAUUUAAAAGCAUUAUGUAGGUUAGUUAAAAUGAUUUUGUAAGAAUUGCAUAUUAAAAACUCAAAUAAAGUCUUGAAAUAAAUUAUUUUUACAAACAAUAGAUGAAAUUCCAGAGUAAAAUUAUUGGGUUCUUUUUAAUUUUGUUAGAGUAGAAAUAAAGUAACAUUUCACUUUUAUGACUCUUUCUUUUACCUUCUUUAACUGGAGAAUAAAUUUUAAGAGAAUACACUCCUUUCAAUUAGAAGAUAUUGUUUCAUAUUAAGAGAUAUAAACUCCUAAAAAUUUUCACUAGUUAUUAAAAACUAUUUCAAUAUGUGAUUUGCAAUUUAAUUCUUAAAUCAAGAUAUUUUAAUAUUUAAGUUAAUUAGGUAUUUAAUUAAUUUAACAAUUAAUGUUAUAAUAAAUGUGUUAUAAAAAGUUUCAAUAACCUUUCACUUAUAUUUAUAAAUUUUUUCAUGAAUUUUUUUAUUAUGGUCGACUUAAUUAUGUUCUAAUUUUGUUAAACUUGAUUACUAAUUUGUUUUAGCUUAAUUGACUUAUUAGUUGAUUUUUAUUGGUAUCGAUUGGUUUCCUCCUACCUCAUAUGAUUUAUUUGGGAUAUUUCGGUUGAAAUUUAUUGACCGAUGCAUAUACAGCACACAGGCUUCUUAAGCAUUAAGUUUGGACUAAUUCAAUAAGUGAAAAUGGAUUGUUAAUAUGAUUGUCGGUGAUGGGAGAUUAUGCUGCUCCGCGAAUUGUGCAGAUCCUCAUUCAAUUGUUAUAUUCAUUCAGUUCGUCUUUAAAAAUAUGACGAUUAAGUUAGAGAUAUAACCAUUAGGGAUGAAGGGUUUUUGCCUCGUUAAACAAGUUUUUUGCUUUGACACUGAAUGUGAAGCAUCUUUGUCCUUUACCGAUGGAUAUUGAAGAUCCAACGGUUGUAAGAGCGCAACGAAUCCUUGAGAAUUUCUAUGAAUAAGGGUGAGGUAGUCAUGUCAUUUUCAUCAUUUUUGCUCCAACGUUCAUCUAUGCAUCAUUCGAUAUCCAAUUCUUUCUUCUAUAGGUAAUAAUGUUUGGCAUCGAAAUUUCUUCAAAAGGAUUUUCUAGUUGGAGGACAAUUGGUAUGCUAAUGAUGUGUUUGCGUCUUCGUCGUCACUCAAUUCGUCAUCGAGUGAUCAGGGGUCAUCUAAGAGAAUUCCCUCAUCUAUGAAUAUAUUACAAUACUCAUUAAACUUACUAAUAAAGGUUUGGUUGGGGAAAAGGGUCCAAACUUGGAGAACAAGGUCCGAGAGAGGAGGUUUCGAAAGAGAGGAGUGAUGUCAUCGUUGGAGAAAUCCAAGUGGAUACAACUAUUGAAAGGGAUGAACAAAACCUGUCUGAAGUCCCUUGGUACACAUGGGUCGCACACAAGGUGCAUGAGUAUUUCAUCUGCUUCAGGUGCGAUAAUUAUUUGAUGGAGCUUACUGGUCAGACCUACAUUUUAAAGGACGACGUGGUGGACAACUCAGUGCAUCUCUGUGUCUACUAAGGCAAUGAUCGGGUAUGCCAUGAUAAGGGGAAUUUAAAAUUGGAUUUCAUCUUUGUUUAUUCUUGCCUCCUCACAUACUUGUAUGUGCGCCUCCUCACAAGCUGUAGUCAUAUAGGAGUUACAUGUUACUUCCACACAACUACACCUGAACUCUUGGGCAACUAUAUAGGCGUUCAACGUCUUGCGUAAGGCUUUGGGUGUCAGUCCUACCCCUACCUUGUUCCUCUACCACCAUCACACCCAUCUGAAUGCUAAAAAGAAUGAGUGUCAUUGAUAAGUGACAAUAAUCGGAAACUACUCCAUCUCUUCACGACCUCCUAGAAAGGCUUUAAGGAUGUGUUCGUUUAGGGCGCAACUUAUUCUUUGAUGAGGACAAUAGACCUAAGUUUCCUUUGUAUUGGACACAAAAUCCUUUUUGGACCGACCUUUGGAGUCCUCCACGAUGACCCCUGAGGAUAUCAUUGCUCUUGAAAUUUUGGAGCAAUUGUCUCAUAAGCUGCCUACCAUAGAUCUUUUGAAUUGUUCCCAUUCUUAGAAUCCCAGGUAGGAUGUUUAUAGUAAACUAUAUUUUCUUGUUUGAUUUAUUUUUUGAUCGAUUUUUAACUUGGUUAAGUCUUCUUUCUUAUUACAGAUAUCGUGGCUCAUACCAACACAUGUAACCUCAACGAUUUCAAAAAGUUAUUGGAUAAAUGUCAAAUAGGAAUGGGUAGUGUUUGAGCUAAUCUUGGCAAGGGCCCUUCGAACAAGGCUUAAGGAGAAAGGGUCGAUCGACCCUACUGAUGCAACGUUGGUUUCCUUGUUCAAGUCCUCAACAUUUCUUCCAUCACCACUAUGUGUGUUGCUCCCAUCGAUCGGGAGGAGGAGACUAGGAGGAAGAAGGAAAUUGAAAAGAAACACAAGUCCUUGGUUACUAAUUAGAGGAAACAUAACUUAAAUAAUGGUUGAACAUGAAGUCAGCUUCCAGAAGGCCUUGGACUAGGCAAUCUCAUCCAUCUACCUCUGCAUCCUCUUUGUCAUCUUCAUCGGGUUCAUCUGAUUGUUGGCGGUUUCGUCGUGUACUUGGUUGCUUACCAUAUUCCUUUUGGUCAUCAUAUAGUCUUAAAAGUUUUCGUUCGACUUCACGAUGGACGCUAAAAUAUUUCUGAUGUAUGAAGUCGAGUGUUCACUAAUUAAAGUGUUCUUCCUCACUCUUCAACUUCCUUCUUUAUUGUUUGAAUACUCCAACCAAUUAAAUAUACCUGCUAAAGAUAUUUCGAUGCUCAAAUUAAUUUGAAAUUCGACCAAUUUAUCAAUUAAUUAUGAAAUGAAUACAUCAUACAAAGUUUCAACAAUUUUUUAAAUAUUAUAAUAUAAUAUUUUAUUAUAUUUUUAAAAUAUUAUAAUAUAAUAAUUGAUUAUCCAAGAUAUGAUAAUAUCUUUAAAUAUAUUUGUUUACUCUUUGUCUAUGAAACUUAUAAAUAUUUUUCUCAUUUUCUUUUCAAAAUGAAAAAAUUUGUAAAUUGUUCUCCAAGCAAGAAAUAUGGAAACCCUAAGUUAAACAAAUGAAUAUAUCUAAUUUUUUUCUUAUUGUCACCUUUAUUUAUUAUAUUAUUCUCAUAUAAAUAUUUCCACUUUAUUAUAUAGGUUCAUUGUAUUUGUAAUUAUAAAUAGAUUCGUUGUAUUUAUAAGUAGUGAUGCUCUUUAAUAUCAUUAAAAGUAGUUUAAAUUAAUGCUAAUAUCAUAAUUUGUCCAUUAAAUGUACAUAGUCAAAUAAACAAAAAACGAUUAGGUAAAGACUAAUUGGAUGGAGGAAAACACCUAAUAACACCACAUAAUCCCACCAACCUUAGUCUCAAAGACUUGAUAAAAAUUCUUUAUUAUAAUAAUAAAGAAAUGAACCUAAUGACCUAAUUAAAAUUAAGCCUAACACCACAUAAAUAGACUCCACAUAUUUUAUUUAUUUACUUGCUUCCUCAUGUCACCCUAAAAAAACAAAUAAACUUUCAACCAUUUAUUGUCAUUAUCCUUCCUAUUUUUUUUCCAACAAAAAGGAAGCACUAUAUUAAUUCUUUUUGGUACCAUAGUUAGCUAUUCUGCUAAAAAGAAAACACUUCAAGUACAUGUUUUUAUUUUUUUUAAUUUCUCUACCAUUUAUCUCCCUACUGUAUGACAAAAGUUAUUAAUAUCAGAAGGAUUUGUACCCAGUUUUGUGAGAAAAAUAAGUUAAAUUCUAAAAGGGACAGUGACAUUUACAUCAUUAACAAUUCUCUCAAGAAGUCUCAUAUGAGUAUUGAAAACAUUUUAAUUUUCUUGGUAAUGGUAGGAGAACAUAUUUUACAUUCAUUUCAUAUAAAAUAAAAAAAUAAAUAAUUAUAAAAAUAUAAAAUUUUAUAUUUUUUAAGAAAAAAAAAUAAAAAAUAGGUAAAAUUAAUAUUAUAUGAGUAUAAAAAUUUAAGUAUGUCAAAUAAUUAUUAUUUUUUCGAAAAGAUUAUUGUCAUUUAAUAUAUAUAUAUAUAUAUAUAUAUAUAUAUAUGUUUAAUGUUUCAAUAAGUUUCUAUUUUUGUUUAGAAUUUUAAAUAGGUCAUUUUCUUUUUCUGCGUCUCAAUUGAGUCCUUAUUUUUGUAAAAUUGAAUCAAGUAGGGCAUUUCUGUCAAAUUCAGAUGACGGUGUUAGGAAGGGUAUGUUGACAGUGUAACUUUUUAUUAUGGGGUGUUGCUCCCUACACCUCCCCAAGUAGGACCUGUACCUCCCCAUUAAUUUAAUUUAUUUCAAAAAUAUUCUACGCCUCCCCACUAUUUUCUUUAUUCCAAAAAUACCCUACAUCUCCCCACUAUCCUUAACCAUCUUUCUCUUUCUCUCUCUACAUAAAUUAUAAAAGUUAGAUACAAAUACAAAAUAAUAAACAUAAUAAUAUUAAUAGUAAAUAAUGAUAUAUUAUUAUUAUUAUUAUUAUUAUUAUUAUAUACUAACUUUAUAAUGACGAAAGAACUAAAUAAAUUCUAAAUCUUUAACAAAUAAAAUUUUUUUUUAUAUUAAGUAUUUAAUAAUAUUUUUAUAUUAUUUAUCUAAUAAAUUAAAUAUUUUAUUCAAGUUAUUUGAAUCAAACAUUUCGGUGAGUUAAAACAUAGUAUAAUCUUAAAAAUUAUAGAUAUUAUAUGUAAAAAAAAGAUACAUGUAUAUAAACAUUUUUCUAAAAAUUUAGAACAAAAUUUUACCAUUUAUUAAGUAAUUUGAAAAGAAAAAAAUAUAUUCAACAACGAAAAUAAGAUCGAAUCAAACUUAUUUAAGAAAAUAUAUUCAAAUUUAAGUCAUGUAAAUGCUCCAUUAAUGAGUCAUGUAAAUGUUCCAUUAAUGUAGAGAGAGAAAGAGGAAGAUUGUUAAGCAUAGUGGGGAGAUGUAGGGUAUUUUUGGAAUAAAAGAAAAUAGUGGGGAGCUGUAGAAUAUUUUUGAAAUAAAUUAAAUUAAUGGGGAGGUACAGGUCCCACUUGGGGAGGUGUAGGGAGCAACACCCUUUAUUAUGUGGUAUUAAAAACGUGACUGAAUUGUAUUUUUUUAAUUUCUAAAUUAAAAAAUGAAGAGUAUACUUCAUUUUUUAAUUCAAAAAUUAAAAAAAUACAAUUCAGUCACAUUUUCAAUGUCACGUAAUAAAAAACUACACGACGUAUCCUUCUCAAUGGCGUCAUCUCAAUUUGACGGAAAGGUUCUAUUUGAUUCAAUUUUAAGAAAAUAAAGACUGGAUUGAGAAGUCGAAAAAGAAAAAAAACCCAUUUAAGAUUAUGGACAAAAAUAAGAACCUAUUAAAGCAUUUUAUAUAUAUAUAUAUAUAUAUAUAUAUAUAUAUAUAUAUAUAUAUAUAUAUAUAUAUAUAUUCAAUAAUCAACCGUAAUUUAAUAUAAAAAAAAACCCUUAAUAUCUUCCUAUUAAAGUUGGCAACGGCUGCUGACAAGUGAGAAGUUUGAAUACUUUGAAAAGGUUUAAUUUACACCAUACAAAUUGUAUACUCUUCUAACCAUUACUUAAAUGAUACUAUUUUUAAUUAAAUGCAAAAGUAUUUUUGUGGUAAAUAAUAUCUUAUCUUUGUCAAGGCACACGUCAAGAAAAAGUUACUUGCUAAAGACAAAAAUUAGAAAAUUUAAAAGAAAUAACUCUUAGGGUUCAAAGUUCAAAACUUAACGCUUCGGUUAUCCAAUUCCAAAUGAAUAUACGAAAAGGAUUGUUGCUAAUACGAGAUGCUUUGCUGAUGCAUCAUGCAUCCGUAGACGACAUUUGCAUCAAAGAUCACUCCAAACAAAUAUUCUUAUUUCUUUUUAUAUCGCACGCCAUGCCGAAAAUUAAAUCAUUUAUUUAAUAAGUAUUUGAUUUAAGUAAUUAUCACAAUCUAAAAAAAAAAAUCAAAUUUAUAAUAUAAAAAUUGGUCUAAUUUGGUAAUAAGACAUUCAUAUUCUAUAUCCGUUAGAUACUAGAACUUGGAUACAACAUUCAAAAGUCGUCGACUCAUAGAUGUAAGAUAUCAACUUUGAACUAAGAUACAACAAAAUCUAUAAAUUCAAAAUUAAGCUUAGGUAAAGUUUCGAUUUAUUUAACAAUUAAAUAUUUUAACAAAAGAUAAAAUAAUUUAUAUUUUAUGUUAAAAAUAAUUAAUUUGUAUCUAAAAUAUUUAUACAUGAAAAGGGCAACACCCAAUAAUUUUCUAAUUUUAAAAAUUAUUAACUUUAAAUUAAAUUAUUCACUAUCAACAUUUGUUAAUUGGUUUAAAACAAUUAGAACACUUUUUUUUUAUUGGUGAUAUGAAUAUGAAAAAUUUUAAAAGAUAAGUUCUAACUAAGUUUCAUGGUUUCUAUUAAUUUAUGUAGUAUAAUUUGAUUAAAUGUACUAAUAAUCCAUAGAAUUUGAGUUUUCUAAAGUAUAAAAUAAAGUAUUUAUUUAUUUAUAUUAGGGGAUGAUAAUGGAAAGGUGUGUUUUUGGCAGCAUAGAAUCCAAUAGCCAUAAAAAGUGGUAAUGGAAUGGAAGAAGUGCAUGCCACUAUCUUCUUGUCUUUUCAAUUCAUCUUCUCUUGCAUGCAUUCUCUUCCUAACCUUCAAGAUUCUACCUUAUCUCUUUCUCUUUUUCCUUUCAUAGAUCAUCACAAUAACUAAUUCACUAUCCCUAAUAUGCUUUCAUCUUAUCUCUAUUGCAAUCAAAAUUCACUUUUUCUUUCUUCCAAUUUUAUAUCACAAAUUAUAUUCGAUAACUCAGUCAAAAAUUAUCAUUAUUAUGGAAAAUAGGAUACACCAUUCAUCCAUUAUAGGCCUCCAUCAUGAACCCUUUAAGUUUAGUCAAGUAGGCUUAUUUGAAAAAGAAAAAAAAAAACAAAGAAAGAAAAAGACUACAUGUAGGUUUUGACUUUUAAAAUCGAUUCUUUUAUUUAAAUAAGUCAGCCAGUACAAAAUUUUCUUAAAAAAAAAAUACUGUUAAUUAACGUUGACAUGUUAGUUUGUUAAUAAAUAAUUUGAUUUUUUAAUAAUAAAAACCUUAUUAUUUAAUAUAUAACUAUAUAUAUAUAGGAAUUCUAACAAUCUUGAAAGAUAAUUAUGAAAAAAAUAAUAUAAUUAUAUAUAUGUAUAAUUAAUGAAUGAGAGAAGUGACCUUAUGGUAAGUUUGAACUUAUUCCACAAUAGCUGGUUGUUUAGGUUGGUUUAAAUUAUGUGGACACAGACAUAGGCCAGCAUUGACUUUUUAAGUCAAACAAAUACCCACCCCAUGUUUUGGUACAUCUUCAACUUCCCAUUAUCCUUAACUGUUUACGAACAUUUCAUAAUUUGUGUUCUGCUUUUAAUAUAAUACUAAGUAAUAUAUAGAUUUUGUUAUUAUUUAUUUAUUUUACUUUUUUUAAAGAUAUAAAAGUUUAUUUUUUAUUAUAUAAUUUUAUUUUUAUAAUAUAUAAAUAAAUGUGAUCUUACUGUGUGAUACUUUACAACGGAUGCAGUCACGUGGAGGCCACGCUCCAUGCAUGGGAGGAAACAGAUGCCAGAAAAGCAGCGCUGAGUUGUAUAAGAGAAGGAAAAAAGUUUUUUAACAAUUUUUUGGUUUAAUAGGUUCGGAGGUUACUAUAUUUGGGGGUUUGUUUCAAUUGGAUCCUUCAAUUUUGAAAGGUAAUCAAUUAGGUCCCUAAUUUUGUCAAUUUGAAUCAAUAAAAGUCUUUCCGCAGUUAACGCCAUGAAGUUUUUGAACAUGUGACACACUGACGCUUCCAGAUGGCACCGUUUCAAGUGUAUAGGUGGAUUAUAAAAGGAUGAAAUCCCAAAAUACAACCUUUUAAUUUAGGGAUUUCAUCUUUUUAUAAUCCACCUAUGCACUUGAAACGGUGCCACCUGGAAGCGUCAACGUGUCACAUGUUCAAAAACUUCAUGGCGUUAACUGAAUUUAGCGGAAAGACUUUUAUUGAUUCAAAUUGACAAAAUUAGGGACCUAAUUGAUCACUUUCAAAAUUGGAGGACCCAAUUGAAACAAACCCCCAAAUAUAGGGACCUCCGAACCUAUUAAACCCAAUUUUUGUACAAUAUAUACAUGUUUUGUGAUUGGUCUGUUUUAAAUAUUUUUUAAACAUAAAUUUAAAUAGAUCAAUAAAAUGAUGAGAGAUAUUUUAUUGUAAAAAGAUUAUCAAAAAAUAUAUAUCGAAUAUAUAAUUUCCAUUGGAGAAACAGAGUAGGAAUGGGACAGAGGAAAAAUAAUAAUUAAAAACUAUAAUUCUCACGUACUUCGAUGGACGAUGAUGAGAUGAAGACAUUAGAAUUAGUAGAAGAUUAGCAAAUAACAUAAUAAUUAAUAAAAUAGAAUAGUGUGUGGGUGGGUGGCCCUGAGAAGAUUGAAAAGAAAGUUUUGAUGAAUGAAGUCAAGUUGGAACGAAGGGUUUAGGUAGUUUUUUAAAAUUGGUUUAGCCGACUAAUGAUGCCCUAAUUCUUAAUUAAUUGUGUUUUAUUUAUUUGCUUAGGUUAUUUGUUGAAUGAUGAGGAGUCGGUGGGCAAGAAAGAAGAAUAUUGUGAAACUAGAUUCCCCUUUCUCUACUUUAUAUAUUACAACAAUUGUUUCAACUAUUUUUUUUUUUAAAAAUAUUUCAUUUACCUCUUUUUAUUUUAUCUUAUACAAACCACUCAAGCCUUUUUAAAUUUUUAAAUAAAUAUUCACAUACUUUAUUUUUUUUUUUUAAAUAAAAAGAUAUUUCCAUCUUUUCAAUUUUUAAAUAGAUGAGUAUUUUUUUUUAUAUUCGUAUAUAUUCACCCCUCAUACAUACUUAAUAAAAUAACAUUUAAUUUAAUUUAAUUUAAAAAUCUCUUGUUGAAUCUAAUUUUAAUAAAAGUCAUAUGUUAUGUUAAAUAUAAAACCAGGUGAUUAAUAUUAAAAUAAUAUGAUGAAACCACUAAACAAGUGACGAUAAAAUAUAAAAUUAAUAAAAAAUAAUAACAGUCACAUAACUUAAUUAACAAAAAAAAAAUUUAAAUAAUAAAAAGUCAAUUGAAAAAUAUAAAACUUUUAAGUACUCAAUAAAUUAAAAAUAAUAAUAAUAAUUCAAUUAAAAAUAUUCAAGUUUAUCAAUUAGUUACACCUUAUAACUAUACAAUCAUACGAUUUAAUUGAUAAAUCGUACAAUGAAAAUAAAAAUUAUAUUUUUAAGAAAAUAUUAUUUAAAUAAAUUUAUGUGUUUGAUUUAAAUUUAUUAAAUUAGUAUGUAUAUUUUAGAACUUGAGUUUUAAAUUUUCAUAAUUUGUUUAUUUAAUUUUUAAUGAAUAUAUAUAUUUGUUUUUAAGUAAAACAAGAAUACCUCACCUUAUUAUAAUCACAAACUAUCACUUAUUAAAAGUAUGCAUAAUUAAGUUUAAUUUAAAAAGAUUUAGGAAGAGCAAGUGUGAACUUUUAUAUAUUAAUUUUUUAAAACUGUAUUUCCAAGUUAUAGAUAAGUUAAUUUGAAUCUAUUAAGAAAAUUUAAAAUAAAAUUUAUGUGAAAAUUCUUCUAAAUAUCCUCUAUACCACCUCAACCAAUCAUCUAAGAAUUUACUUCUUACUUUUAUCCCAUUUAUUAUCACAUCAUUCCCAUCCUUACAUAACUUUGAAUUCAGAAAUUCUGUGAAUUUUGGAAGCUAAUUAAUUAGCUGUGACAUAUCCUCCUAAGAGUGACGCACUGUUGAACGGUGAAUUGUUGCUGAUGUUGUAAUUUAAUAUUUAGACUUUGACUAGUUUCGGAAGAACUAGUGUAUUUAUUUUUUCAACAUAUAGAAAAAAAUGAUAGUAUAUUAUCAUUUAUUUAUCCCAUCAUUUAUUCAGUUGUGCCUCAAUUAAAUUAAAGAGAGAAGUUAACACAUUUAUGCAUAAAAGUCUUAAACAGGAAAGUUGGUAUAAUCUUUUAUUUAUCAUUGCACUAAUAAAGUUGGUACAUUUUGUUUGAAUUAAUCCUAACUUAUUAAUACUUAAAGCCUUCCUUGAUAAAUAUUUAAUGGUGAAAAUGAAAACAAAUAUCGUGAUAGAAGAAAAAAAUUCUUUUUGAAAAAAAAAAAAGUGGAUAUGAUGUGGUCUAAAUUCUAAUAUCACUUUUUUUUUUCUCCAUGAUGUGUUGUGAAAUAAAGAGUUCAUAUUAAUAAUGAAUUAGAAUUUUGGGAUAAAAUUUGAUAAAUAGAUUUGAUUAAUAUGAAAAAAAAAUUAAAACUAAUUAGGUUAUGUUAUUUACCAAAAUAUCUUUGGUGCAAUUUAAGAAAAAUAAUGAAUUAAGAUUUAAAUUUAUUAAUUAUGAAGUUAUUAUUUUAUAAAAGUAUGAGAUAUAAGGUUGAUCUAGUAGUUAAAAAAGUUGAAAAGUUGGGUAAGAGAAGUUAUAAGUUUAAUUUUACCAUUAAGAAGAUAUAAGGUUGAUUUAAAAGGUUUGGGAAGAAAGGAGAGUAUUAUAAAAAAUUAACAAAAACAUUUAUUGAUUGAGAAAUAGGAAUAAUACUUGAAAUUGUUGGUUGAAUAUAGAGUACACAUAAAGCUGUUAAUCUAUGAUUAUUAUUGUUUUUUUUUAUCAAAUAAACUAAAUCAGAAUACACUUUAAUAUCAUAAAUUGACCUUCAAUGUUCAAAUAAAUUAUAAGAUAUUCUGAUAAACUUUAUUAAAAAAUAUUUUAAUUGGUUAAUAGACUAGGAUAAUAUAUUGUUAAAAAUUUAUUAAAUAAACAUGAAUGAGAUGUACCCUAUUUUGUUUAUGAAAGUACUGAAUAUCUGAAGCCAUUGAGUUCAACGCGUGAGAGUAUUAGAAUUAGAAGGUCCAACUUCAACCACUCCAAACAACACACAAAACAAACGCUUUUCUCCUUCAACUUCCUUUCUUGUCCUUUUACUAUAGAGUUUGUUACGGAUAAGCUCCAUCUGCUCCUCUUUUUCCUCCAUCACAUAUUUAUUUAUUAUUAUUAUUAUUAUUAUUAUUAUUAUUUAUAUUACAAAAAUACUUUUCAGAAAAUCAUUCCACUCAAUUGCGACUUUCAAAUUCCAUGUUCUUCAUGUGUGUGCAUGCCCUCUGUCCCCGGUCCACACGUCUUUCUCUCUCUUCUCUUUCAAAUUUCUACUCUCUCUUUCUCUCUCUCCAACCCCAUCUCCAUAUAAAUACACUUGUAUCUUCCUCCUCCUCUUCAAAUAUCACAAAACUACAUCUUCUUAUCCAUCUAUCACUUUCCAAACAUGGUUGAUCUAGAUUGGCAAACAAAGAUGGUUUGUUCCAACAUGCCUCCCAACUCACCCAAACUCUCUCUCUUAGAAAACAACAUCCCAAUCCCAAUCCCUACUUUGCAAAUCCCCCUUCCUCAAAACGACAUCACGCCAGCCUCCUCCCCGCUUUGUGCUGCCUACGACAACUACCUUCGCCUCCCCGACCUAAGAAAUCUUUGGGCCUCCAACAACUUCCCCGAUUGGCCCAACGAGCCCAUCAUAAAGCCCGCCUUACACGCCCUCGAAAUCACCUUCCGCUUUCUCGCAACCGUUUUAUCAGACCCCAGGCCUUACGUUAACAAGCGCGAGUGGACCCGACGCCUCGAGUCUCUCGCCGCGGCGCAGGUCCAGAUCAUUGCCGUGCUCUGCGAAGACGAGGAGCAAAACCCCCAGACACGUGGCAAGGCACCCGUCAGUGACGUCAACGACUUCCUCACGGGUCAAAGAAGAAGCUACAGCGAGGAGAGCUUGCUCCCACGUCUCGCCACGUGGCACAGAUCCAGGGACGUGGCGAGGAGGAUCCUCGCCACCGUGGAAUGCGAGAUGAUGAGGUGCACGUACACGCUGGGUCUGGGUGAGGCCAAUCUCGCGGGAAAAAAGGUUCUCCAUUACGACGACGUUUGCAGGCCGACCGAGAUCCGAUCCCUGGAGACCACGCCGUACGAUCACGUGGAGAACUACGAGAAUAGGACGGUGCACGCGGCGCAGCAGAUCGUGGAGUGCUGGACGCGUGCUGGGAGGAGGUUGGUGGAGAGAUUGGUGGAGUCGGUGGAGAGGAGAGAGUUGGAGAAGGCGGCGAGUGAGUGCCACGCGGUGGAACGGAUCUGGAAGCUUCUGGCGGAGGUUGAGGACGUGCAUGUGAUGAUGGAUCCGGAGGAUUUUCUUCGGCUGAAGAAGGAAUUGGGGAUGGGAAGGCAAGGCGAAACGGUGGCGUUUUGCUUUAGGUCUAAGGAAGUUGUGGAGUUGGCGAGGGUGUGUAGGGAUCUGAGGCAGAAGGUGCCGGAGAUAUUGGAGGUGGAGGUUGACCCGAAGGGUGGGCCAGGGAUGAUGGAGGCGGCGAUGAAGGUGUACGCGGAGAAAACGAAGAAGGGGUUGGAAAAGGUUGUUGUUUUGCAGGGUAUGCAAGCGAUUGAGGUGGCGAUGAAGAGAUUCUUCUUCGCUUACAAGCAGGUUGCGUCGCUUCUGAUGGGAAGCUCCGAGGCCGAUGGGUUAACUCAGAUAUUCCUUCAACCCACCUAUUUCCCUAGCUUGGAUGCUGCCAAGACAUUCCUCAGUUAUUACUGGGAAAAUAACGCCAAUAAUCAAACUCAAAAUUUGGUAGUUAAAUUAGUUAAUUAAUUAAUUUCAUAGUUAAACCUACCCACACCAAAAAUUUAAUUUUUUAAACACAUGCUUCUGUAAAAUAUUAUUUCUCAAUUUUUUUAAUCAUAUUCUUUUCUCUGCUGUAAGCUGUUACCUUACGGUUGAGCAAAUAGAUGCAUUACAACAAAACAAAGUAGUUCGUGUUUCUUCUGUUUGUUUUAGAUUUCAUUCAAAAACUCUGCAUGCUUUCUAUUAUCCACUCUUACUUGGGAGAAAGCAGAAGAAUCUGAGGGUACAGAUACUGGUCUAAUACGAGACAAUAUACUAAAUUUUGUAUACAACGUAGCAAACUAGGUCUUGGAAAAAUUCUUCUCUUUGACUUGAAAUAUUCGUGUCGAUGAUACUAAUAACAUCGUAUAAGAAGGUUAACAAGAUUAUAACUUAUGUUCAAUGCCGACAAAAGAAUGAAUUACAAAAUAUUUUCACUUUAAUUUGACCUUAAUAUAGGAUUUGAUUGGAAGGACUUCUUCCAAAAUAAUUUCAUUUGACCAUUCCAAAUACUUAGUAAUGAUUUUAUUAAAAAGACACCCAAAACGAAAAAUAGGUCUGGAAUUCUAUUCCAAUGUCUGUAAAAAAGGUCAAACAUGUACGAAGAAAGUAAAUCAAUGAGAAGAGGUCAACGAUUUUUAUUUUGUUUUCAAACCUCUCAUUCAUUUAUCCUUUGGACAAAACCAUUUUUCAAAUAUCCAUUUAUUUUGUUUUUUUCUUUCUUUCUCUGUUACGAAUAUAAUAAAGAUGGUAGAACAAGCAACUAUGCCUGUUAUACCAUAAUAGAACUAUGUAAUUAGUCCUCAUACUUUAUUUCAUAAAUUACUUUGUUAAGAGAUGUGGGAAUCUGAGUUUAAAAUAUAUAUACACUGCAGUAAAAAUUUACGUUUCUAUUAACAUUAUUUAAUGUGACAAAUAAUCAAUCUUUUAAAUAUACUAUAUUACUAUUUGACUCUCAAAAAGAUUGUAUAAAUAUCUGUAAACAUAUUUAUGAUCGAUUAAAAAUUUUCAACCAUUCGUAGGAAUAAUAAUUUUAAGAAUUUAGAAUUUUCAUAAUUGAAAAAAAAAAUCAUUUCUAUCAAAACUCCUAAAUUAAAAAAAAAUCCAUUAUAAGAUUUAUUUUCUUAACUUUAACAAACAACAUUUGAUCAAAUAAUUAAAAAUUUAUAAUAAAAUAAAACUGCUUGAUGAAAUUUUAAGUAACAUGUUUUUUAUUGUUUAAUGUUUGAUCAAUAAUUCACUUAAUUAAUUAGUGACUAAACUUUUCAACAUCAAAAGUAACGUAUAGAAGUAUCUUUUUUUUUUUUCUUUUAAGUUUUUGGCAUUAUUAAAAGGCUUCACAUGAUUAAACACCAUACACGAUCCUUUAAUAGAAAGGAUACUGUGUGAAGAUUUUCUUUUUGUUGCAUAAUAUCUCUAACAUAAAUUUUAUUCAAAAUUAGCAAAAACUUAGACUAAAUAUUUAAUUGCUUAUAUAGUUAAAAUGUUAAUUUAAAAUUAUUGAUUAAAUUAAAAUAAUUCUAUGAGAUUUAGAAAAAAGUUUGAAAAUUUAAAAAACAUAAAAAAUUUAAGAAAAAUAAUGCUUUGACACACUUAACUUUUUUAUAUUCAUUUGACACUGCUCUUUCUUAUUUUUUACUCUUUUUUUUUGAAAAAAUACAAAAUUUUAUAUUUUUAUGAUCAUUUCAUCUUUUUACUCUGUGUCAAAUGAAUAUAAAAAUAUCUUCAUGAUUAAUCUAUCAAAUUAUAUAACGCCUAAACAUGAGCAAUCGGUGAUCCAAAAGCACUUUUUAGUGGUGCCAAAAGUGAUCCAUUGCGUAUGACUCGCAUAGCAAUUUGGGUCACAAAACGAACCAUUCAAGCAGAAAGACCAUAAUCCACCAAUCAAUAAAUAUCCUACAAAAUCCGUUGAAAAAUAAUAUUUAAAAAACAAAGAAAAAUAUCUUGAAACUUUAUCUCUUUGCCACGUUAAUCAGGCCCCACGUGUUAUCCACUUCUUUCUUUUUUCUUCAGCAUUCAUCAUGAAGCCCCCCUAUCAAACUCUUAACUUUUUCAGUAAAUUUAGUUCCUCUUCUGUUGACAUCUGUUCUCUUCUCUGUUGGUUUUUCAUAUACAACACUCGAUUCUCCAACUCCCAUGAUUCAAUUUCUUUCAUUUUUCUCCUUAAUUACUCCUCUCUGAAUUGCAUACCCACCCUUUUUUAUUUGAUCAUUAUUAUUUUUACCCGUUUCAGUUUUACAAUGAUUUUUGUGAUCUGAUUGUGUUGUCGAUACAGAAAACAAGAAACUUUUUGGGGUGGUUUUGAUUGAUUCUAUUUGGGUUUAUUCAAUUAUGAUUGUCUUUUAGGUGUUUUUUUUUUCCUGUUAUUCAUUGUUUGUGUGAUCCUUGGAAGAACUUGGUGAUCGAGCAUGGCUUCUAGAGUCUCUUCCAAUCUGAAAUGUUGGCACUUCAGGACUCCUUAUUAUUGUGAUUCAUGGAAGACGCCUUCUUCUUCUACGCCACUGAGGCGUGUCACCGAGAGGAACAAUGUUAUGCCAUGUGGGUUGGUCUAUAGGUCAAGGAAAUCGAGGGUGCAAAGAGGGAAACCGGUUUUCUCUGCACUUUUUGAUGACUUUCACCAAGAGGAAAUGGUGAAUCUGGUUCAGAUUGGUUGUUGUGAUGAAAAUGGUAAUGAAAUUGCUUGUGCUGUCUCUGAUAUUGCCCCAAACAAACAACUCAAAAAUGUCUCGGGCAGAGGUUCUUCUGAGGAGUUUAGGACAAUGGAGCCUGAAGUUUUGGAGCCUUCUCUUUUGGGAAUCCAGCCUGAGCCACCUAGCUGGCCGGAGAGGGAUGAGAUUUUGAGACUGAGCUUUGAGAGGAAAGUGAACAGUGUGGAAAUUCCUUUGUCCAUUAGGAUGAUCAAGAAGAAGCUACAAUUGGAGGAGGGUUUCAAAGAAGCUGGUGAGUUGACUGAAUUACCUAACUGUUGUAUGAAAAAGGCAUUCUCCUCUAUGAUGUUUAUCAUGCAUGAGCUUCAAAGUCAGGCCUUGCAAACAAGGGAGACUCUGUGUGGUGAAGACUUAGAAAGUGUCAUGGCCAAGCUAGGGAGAGAAAUGGAUGCUUCGUUUGUUUGGCUCUUCCAACAGGUUUUCUGGAAGACUCCAAAUCUGGUCGUCGAUUUGAUGGUCCUCUUAGCUAACUUCUUGGUGUUCUCAAUGAAUGAAGACACUGUCAAAGCAAUCAUUCCUUCCAUGAUCACAGAGGCUGUAUCCUUGACAAACAACGAGAGUAAAGUACAACGUUUACUAGACAGUACUGAUGAUGAUGAAGGUGAGCAUGUGAAGCAAGAGUUGUCAGAGGAGGAGGAAAUGCUGUGGAAUUCCUUGCAAGAGGAAGCUGCAAUUUUGCAAAAGGAACUGAGGAGUGAGGUUUUGGACCACGAGACAAGGGAGCAGUUUGUGGCCCCAGUGUCCGUGGAGCUUGAAGGAGAUCAUUAUGAGGAAUAUAUCAAAACUGAGCUUUAUUACAAAAUGCAUUUGCUCCGGACACCUCACUGUUCCCUUCUGCUGUCUAACUAUGCACACUUUCUAUUACUUGUUCUUCAUGACAUUGAUAGGUGAGUUCUCAACUUUGUGAUCAAAUCUGUUUGUUACUUGACGAUGCUGCAUUCUUUAGCUAUCAUUUUCAUGAGUGGGAAAGAGAAAGAGAAUAAGAGGAAAAUCAAAUCUUGUUGCUUGUUUAUUCUCUAUGCAGAGAAGAGUGCUUAAUUUAUGGUUUAAGUGAACUCAUUUGAGUCUUUAUGAAGAUUUAUUUUGGUUUAGAAUGGAUUGAAGUGACAUUUUGCAGUAUUGACAUAAAAAUGACAAAUGUAUCUUGAAGUUUCUCUCUUAGGCUAUUUUAUUUCUAUUUUUGAUCUAUAUUAUUAUUAUUAUUAUUUUGAAUACAUUUUUAAUUGAUUUUCAGGGCAGAAGAGUACUACAAGCGUUCGGUGUUGGUCGAAACACCGGAGGCCGAGGCAUUCAUUCGGUAUGCUGAUUUCUUGUUGAUGAUAAGAAAGGAUGUUUGGGCAGCAGAACUGAGAUAUCUGCAAGCAUUGGAAGCAGAUCCUGGCAACAGUUACUAUUUAUCAAAGUACGCCAAUUUCCUUUGGAACACCGGUGGACAAGAUACUAAUAGUUUUCCUAUAGAAGAAUUGGACAACUUACAGCUAUGACAGUGUUCAUACGAUUCAUUACAGCUAUGACGUUGUUCAUAUGAUUCAUCAUGGCUGAGUAGUGGUACUUUUUGCUAGAAUGAUUGUUGUUAAUGCGGUUUUUUUUUUUUUUCUUUUCCGCUGUUGUAAAAUACUGUUAUGAUGUUUGAGAACUCGAGAACUUGAACAACAAUUUCUCCAUCACAAUUUCAACUUUCUUGUUUGUAGUGAUUUUAUAUUCGUUUGUGGGAAUUAUUUAGUAAUUCUAUAAUUUGAGAUGGAAUUAUAUUAAUAAAUGCGAAAAGUAAUAUGGUGUUAAUUAAUAAUUACGGUUAAUUAUGAAUCCCAUUUUCCAAUAUUCUUCCAACACAAUAACGUUAUCAAUUGGGCAACUUGACUAUUAAUAUAAAUUCAAAAUCUCUUCUCUGAACCUAGCUACUUCCCACCGCUCACGUUAAAAUCUGUAUCUUAGAUACAGCUUCAUCAACCGGUUGCAAUAAACCUUAAUAAUGUUGUAGAAUCAAACUCUUAAUAUUAUGAGAAAAAAUCACCACAGGAUGCUGCCUUGUAUUACUUAACAAUAAUACAAGAAAUUAACCUAAGGAAUUUGAUCAAUUCGUGGCAAAACACGUGAAUUGUGUAUACGAUCCAAUAUAAUACAAGAUCUGUGAGACUAACGAGAAUGGAGUAACUCAACUAGCAACUAAUUGACGAAAGUGGAACUUCUAAAAACCGUAAAGAAAUCAAAAUUCCAGCGUCACCAAAACCAGAUAUUGCGGCUAUCGACGGCCUUAACUGAAGUAGAUACCAAGGGCAUCCGCCCAUACACGGUAGCAAAUCUGUUGACGCACUCUGUUCUUCUUUCACUGUGACCUCCCAAACUACUGAUUCCAGUCGAUCCAAUCUCAAAUAUUUUACCUGUUACAAAAAUUAACAAAUCGAUCAAACUAAUAUUUGUAUAUGUCAAAACUGUCGUUUAAACAUAAUGAGUGCAUUUUCCAAUUUUAUAUUAACCGUAAUGAACUUCACAGCACAAAACCAAUUAUUAGCAUCAAACUUUACAAUCAGCUACUAAAGACUGUGCCUAUUAUUAACCCCGUAAACAGCAGUGUACUGGCCAGUGGCUUGAUAAUAAUACAAAAUAUGUCACAAAACACAAGCACCAUCACGAGUUUAAGUGUCAAACGAAGAAUGAAUCGUCAAACUGUUUCAGUGAUCACCGAGGGAAAUUAAAUAUCUAAGCUUGCACCGCUUAAUUUCGCUGAUAUAGAAGGCCCUAAAAUUCCAUACUUGAACUUCUCGGUUCCAUACUGAAAUAAUAAAUGUUCUAAUAAGUUGGAGAUAGUUUCCAUCUCAAUUCUAGCUGGGCUAACCUUGCUGUAUUUAGAUGCAGUAUGCAUUGUACACUGUAAAUCCACUGUCUACCAUAUAACUCGCACAGGGACAAGCGACACGGAGUAAAGGACUAAUUUCACAAAAAGAAAAAAGACUUAAAUACGGCUGUUCUCUUUUGCUAAUGAUAUACCUCUUUAUGUAUGCUAUCAAGAUAUCAGUUACCAUCAUAUGCAAGAAAGAGAGGAAAGAGGAAAUACCUCUAAAUCAACACAGAACACUAGUAGUAGUUCUAGCAUCAAUAAGUAGCAAAAUGCCAAAAAACUCUUUUCUUGUGCAAUUUUGGCAGAAUAAAGAUAUGCGCGCAUCAUUUAUUGGCUCCCCAUCCUCAACUUAAUCACACAAAUGUCAGAAAGGGGAUGAAUCCCUAUACAACGGAAGUUCGUCACUAAAAGGACCAUUUGCGGGAAAACAAGGGCACUAUGCACUUUGAGCUAGUUAUCGAACUUUUGAAUUAAGCAACCAAAAUAGAAAAAUAAUAAUCCAUGUGAUUCCUAUGCAAUGGUUAUAGAAUGUAGAGUAGUUUAGUUCUUAAGUGUCUUCAUCAGUACAAGAAGAAGAAAAAAAACUCAAAAUCAAACAAUUUGUUUGAUAUGAAUCAAUUACCUUUAACCCAGACGGGAGGUGCACCAGUAGCAUUUGCAACAAGAAAAGACAUUGCAAUAUCUUCACAAUUCCUGGUAAAUAAAUUCAAUUAUUGAGUAAAGAAUUAAGAAAAGGUGGAACCAAGGUUGAGAGAUUGAAAUCUGAUUAAAAAGGUGACGAAUAAUUAUUUAUCCAGGGAAAAACCUGUUCUUGGUUACAUAUUCUCUAAUUGAUGAUGGCAUCUCGUUUGUAUAAAUGUUGAAAUACUUUUUGUGAAAGAACGCUGCCUUGGAGAGCACCAUGCUAUAUGUACCCGUCCACCACACAGACCACCAUCCACCAUAGCUAAAUUUGUUGUCAUCAUCUUUCUGCGAGCAAAUGGAAUAACUUGAAACAUUACCCUGAGAAUUUUUUUCAUAUUUUUCCAGUCACGGCACUGAAGUCGUGACUAGAAUCUUGCAGGUUUAAGGAUCAAACAUUACGGCAAUCAAUAAGGUUCACUUCAAUUUUAAAGAUGCAUCAAACAAAGACUAUAAGGAUGGAUAAAGAUUAAUAGACGAAAUUCCUUCUUACAUGACAGAAACUGAGCUUUCUUUCCGUUUAAAUUAGAUACUCAUGAAGACAAAUAUAACAGGCCUCAAAAGUUCAAAAUAAAAAUCCCUAUUUGAAAGUAAAUUACACAAGAUAUCCAAAAUGUGUUCUUUUUGCUGUUUCAAUGUCAGUGGGAUGUCCCUCUCAAAAUUGAAAUGGAUCUUCACACUCUAAACCCUAAACCAUAUUUUCACCAAGGUGUGCCUUCUAUAUUUUGCAAAACAGCAUUUUGGAAAAUAAAUGUUACGAGUAAUCAAUGCAGUUAAGCAUGAAAGUUAAAAUACAAAUUGUUGACUUGCUCCACGCCUCCAUUCAAAAUUAGUCAUACACCUCCUCUCAUGUUUGAGCACCAAAAGCAAAGGCCAAAAACAUAUUAUGCGGGCAAAAUUAACAGGGAUAGUGAACAAUGAUUCGAUAAAAAGAAAAGAAAAUCAUACCAAUGAAUCCAUCCAAUGGACACGAGGUACAAAUCCAACCAUCGUAUCAGGCGCACUUUGCCAAACGUCAAAUGCAAACUCCACUGAAGAGCAAGGAAAUAUGACAUCGUCAUCAAUAGAAAAGACAGCAUCUGUCUCCAAAUCCUUUAUUUCUUUAAAUCUAUUGUUCAAGCUGUCUUCCUUGUUGAUGUCAAACCUCAAUUUCACUUGUCGUCCAUCUUUAGGCUUGGACUUUACAACGUGGUGCAGAAAUUUUAAAAGAAUAUCCGAAGGAGGAUUGGGUUCACUCCACACAAUAUGUACUGAUUCAAGACGCGGACAUGAUGAAUAAUGCUUGAUGGACUGCUUUAGCAGAUCAUAUCUCUUCCACGUGUUCAUCACGAUAGAAUACCCUCUCCUGUGAACAAAAACAUUAAACGACAAUGAGUCUAUGAUAUCACAAGCAACAUAAGCUCAUCAGCCUUAAGACAACAACAUUUAGUAUGAAAAAACCAAUCCCCAGACCAAAUUUCACGAACAUAUUUAUCAAAAACAUAUGAUUAAGGCGGUUGGAGUUCUCCUGAGCUAGGUUCUAGGUUAAUAAUAAAAAUUCUAAAGCACCAAACCCCAAAUCCUAUUACAUUCACUCGAUUUUCAGUUCAAUAUAAUUUGGUGGCUUAGAAAAACUCAUAAAAAAAGUGAUGAACCUAGUAAUAUAAAAAAUCCCAUACAGUACAUGGUUAACAACCCAAAUUCCAUUACAUAUCUAUAUCUUCAUCACUUGACGACAAAACACAAGAAAUGAAUAAAGUGUAAACGAUAUUAAUAGUAGUAGUGACAUCAGGAAGAAAUUUCCCAAACACCAACUUCUAAGAUCCCAAGUCACAAAAAAUAUUCAUCUCUCUAAUUUGCAAAAAUUCCCUCAGAAGAACACCCAAUCAUUUUAAUAGCUUGCAUCCAAAACGACGAUAGCUUCGCCCUCCUAUGCUCUUUCCAAAAUUAACCUACCAAAUAAAACCUACAGACACUCGUAUCCCUUUCUUUAUGUUGUUUUCCCACAAAUACAGGUACAGGAAAACGACGAAUACAAAUACAACGGAAUCUGAUAAGCCAACACGUAUAUGGAAAUCAAAGAAAUGAAAACAAACUUUUCCGAAAAAAAAAAAAGAAAAUCCGUUGCCAAAAACGAAGCGAUCUUAAUCGUUUAAUUUAACUUCUGGAAUUCUCCGUAUUAAGAAAUAAGAUUUUUUUUGGAAAUAAAUUAAUGAAGUGAGGAGGAGAUAAAGGAAGGAAAGAAUAAGAACCUGGAAUCGGAGGAGCGAGGGGGAAGAGGCGUUUGGUUGUUCCAUACUACGAAGGAAGAAGCGCUCGUAGAGAAGGCAAGAAGCGUGAGGGCGACGCAGCAACAGAGGAGAAGCUUGAUCUUGACUGAUUUAACAGUGGAGAUCGCGAGUAGACGGAACCGCUGCUCUGUCCGACGGUUCCAACCGCAGCAGCUCCCUCUCAUCACCGCCGCAAGGAAUGCGUGCAGCCGAGGCGAAGAUCUCUCGGAGAGUCAGCGGCCCGGCUCAGCCGCGAGGCAUCCGGUGGCGGAAGCGAAGGAGUGAAAAAAAUUGAACGGAUAGUGUUAUGCGUGCGGUCGGAUUGGCUCCGACGUGUGAAAGUGAAAGCUUAAUGUUGUAGCUUACUGAUCGUUGGGCGUUGUCGUUGUGUGCCUCUGUCUCAGUCGCAGAUCACAUUGACAGGAAUUGAUGCCAGAAAUAAAACGAAGAGAAGCUUAAUAGAAUAUAACGAGAGAAAAUGGGAGAGAGAAAGAAAGAGAGAUUCGUUAUUUUCUUUAUCUUUAUUUUUAUUUUUAUUAUUCUCAUUGGUUGGCUUCCGACAUGGUAUUUUUAUUUUCAAUCGCUUCACUCACGAACAUUAGUCAGGUGCUGCGUGCCACGUGGACAUUUCUUAACCGGUGGAUUGAUCGGACCGCCAUCUCCUGGCGUCUGAGAGGGGUGGUUCUGCGUCCCUUCACACAUUGAUUUACACGCGCAAGAUGGAUGAUGAUGAUGAUAACGGCAUGUGAUUGAGUUGAAUAAACGUGUCCAACAAAACUUCGUUGCGGUGGCUUUGGAAAUUCUUCAUUUGACUUAUAUAACUGCGAUUCUGUUCAUCGUUACUAACUACCUAUUUUGUUUCCUACUUAUUAAAUUCAAUUUUAGCUCUUGAAUGGUAUAAUUAAGCUAAAUAAUUAAAUCAUAAUAAUCAACCAGUGUUACAUCAGUUUAAGGUCUUGAUAACUUGAAUGGAUUUAGAGAGGAUAAUUAAUAGAAGUUUAAUGUUUUGUUCACUUGAGAAUCGAUUUAGGAAGAGUAAUUGAGAGAAUUUGAAGGUUUUGAAAAUAAUUUACUUUUGUUGUUUAUUUGAAUAGAUUUGGAAGUAAGUAAGAGUAAAUUUUGAAGUAAAAUUAGUAAGAAUCAGUAUAAGAUUUAAUUUACGUGACAGAUUAAAAAAUUUACCUUCAAAUUCACUCUCACUUACCUUCAAAUCUAUUCAAAUAAACAAUAAAAAAAAUUACUUUUAAAUAGUUUCAAUUACUCUCUUCCAAAUUCACGAAAUUUAUCUUAAAUUACAUGAUGAUCCUAUCGUAAUGUUUUCCGUUUUUAUGAGUAUUUAUGGCAAGUGUUAGUAAGGAUUAAAUAAUGACUCAUUUGGGUCAACGUUUUGGUUUGAAGUAGAGUUUGUUUAUUUGUUAUGUUAUUAAUAGAAGGCAGACGAACUUAGUGUUGUUUGAAGGAUUGGUGGAAGAAAAUUCAAAGUUGGAGGAAUGGAUAUAAAUAAAAUGGAAACACGGAGUUCAAAAAGAAAAACAAAAGAAGAAGCUUCAUUGGAUGCUACUAGGGUUGGUGGCACCAUUACCAUUUGUAUAAUAUAAUAUCUUUAGAUUUCAGAUGGACCAUUUAUAAUAAUAUUUUCAGAUGAUCAUUUAUAACAAAUUUGGUUUGAUUACCGUACCCUAUACCUAUUAUUCGAUUGGAUUAAUGUAUCAUAAUUUGCAUUUGACCAUUUUUGUCAAUUAUAUUGCGUAUAGCCAUGAAAAUAACCCCUUGGUCUUGUUUUUUUUUCUAAAUAUUUUGCAAUAAUUAAUAUAAAUAUAUCUGAAUUGACUUUUCCCUUUAGAGAAAAUUUGAAAAGAGGAACUUCUUCGUUUUACUUUUUCUCUAUGAUUGCUCGUUUAAAGAAUAUUCCAUAAUUUUGUGAUUUUAUAAAUUAAUUUUAGACGAUUAAAAUUUUCUUUGACAAACACAAAUAGUACUAAUAAGAUGUGUGAUAUGAUAAAGAAAUACAAAUACGGUAAAUAGUUAAUUAUUACGUGCUUCGAAAAGUUGGAUGUCCAUAAUUGCUUCACUUCAUCUCUUGAUUUUAAUGUAAAUAAAAGUUUGGCAAUUAUUGAAGUUUGGACAUGUGGAUGAUAAUGUAAGCUGCUCCAGACAACGAUUGAUAAUCAUCCCAUUUCUUUUAAAAAUCAUAUAUUUAACAAAAGUUAUUUUCUCAAUAAAUUUGUUUAUGUCAUUAUUCAUUUAAGAUAGUAAGAUAGUUCUGUUUUGUGGACCAGUUCUUGUUUAUGUUGAUUAAACCUCUUCCUCACAACACUUAUUUAUUUCCAUUCUAUCACUUAAGUUUUUAGUUUUCAAUAUUAAGUUUUUUUUUUUUUUGGGACAUCUCUUUAUAAAAAGAGGACUUUUUUUAAAGUAUAGUGAGUAAUUCAAGUAAAUAUUUAUUUGCUGUUGGUACAAUUUUAAAAGGUUUCUUACUAAUUGAGGUAUCUAUGUGUAUAUAAACUUAUAUUUGUCUCUUUUUUUAUCCGAUGUGGAACUUUGUUUGUACUCCAACAAAGUAGACGACAAUAACAACUUUCCUCGCUCUUAUUUUGAAGUGUAGAAGUAAAAUGACAUGAUCUAUUUUGUCCUUAUUCUGGGGUACAUACCACUAGUUCUUUAGACUCAAACUUGCAUGAGUGAUGGAAAUAAGGAGCCUGAGAGAACAAGAAUGACAUGGUAUGUCUCGUCGCUAAGUUGAGGUAUAGACCACUAGUUCUUUUAGCUCAAACUUUAUGCGGUGGAAGUGAAGAGUCCAAGAGAGCGAGGUGGCUGAUUGCGUCUCAAGACGAGAAACAUAGAUCCUAAGAUGACACCCAAUAGUCUCACAUGCUUUGGAUUUAAGACCAACAAAAGUUUACAUGCAGAAAAUGCCUUUAACGUCACAUGUAUAUCGUCCAACCACCGAAAGUCCAACGUUAAAAAUGAUCAAUGACAGUUUCGUAAAUAAAAAAAACUAUUUAGAUAUCGGCUAUGGAGGUGCCUCGAUGUCUAAAUACAUACACACGUCAGCCCCUCUAGUGGUUUUUCGCGCUCAACAUCAGUUAGUGACGCUCAACACCCAUAGACGUCGGUGAGGGUAACAUCUGAUGUGUCAUAUGACGUCUGCUGUAUGUAGAACCGAUGUCUCAUAUGAUGUCAAAGGUGUAACAUCUUACGUCUAUUGACGUCCCUUGCAGGACCCGACGUCCAAUUAACGUCACCCAAUAUGACGUAAGUGAGAGAUUAGACGGCAAAAGCCCAAAUUAACAUAUGUUAAAAACCUUUUCUACAAUAAUGUUAAAUACUCAUUAAUUGAAACACGACCUAUCUUUUAGGAUUGUUUUAAUUUAUUUUUAAUAUAUUCUUAAAGAAAUUUAACUUUACAAAAUUCAAACGUUAAGAAUCUCAUCUAAAUAGUUUUAAGAUUGCAUCAAGUAGUUUUAACUUUUGUAAACUGAAUUAGAUAUGAUUUUACAUAAAAUUUGGAGUGUUUAAAACAUGAUACACAUCUACUUUUAAAGGUUUACAUUAUGUCUAAAUUACUUUUCUUAUUUGCUACAUAUACAAAUCUCCAAAUAGAUUUUCUACAUUUAAGCAAUUAAUUUGAAAUCCUUUAAAACUGAUUUGUAAAACUACAAUAAAACAGGUUUUCUAAAUUAUCUUAUUGCAGAAAAAUUGAUAUGUACUUUUAUUGCACAAUGAAUUUUGUUAAUGUUACCGUAUAAUGGAUUCUAUCAUAGUUCGAUAUCAAACUUUACGAGUUCCUAGAGUCAAAUUCAAUUCUUAAGCAUGAAGAAAUUCAGAAGCAGAGAGAUUAUACAUAUAACAUCAACAUCAAGGAUGACAACAAUGUGUGUCACGUGUCACUUUGUUAUUUUUUAAAUUUUAAAUUUUACUUUUUUAACAUUUUUUCUUAAUUUAAUAAAAAGUUGUCUACAUGUCAAGUAAAUAUAGUGUCACGUGCCAAUGUUAGUGCUCAUGUCAAGACCGUGUUAGUGCCAUGUGUCAAGUGAGUAUUACUGCCAUUGUUAGGAUCUUUUAUUUAAUUCAGUCUCAAUUUUUGUUAAUUUUGUUCAAUUCAAUAUUCGUUACAUGUAGAAAAAAUCAAACAUCCUUUUUGCUGGGGCAGAGGUAAUAAUCCAUAUAGACGUUAAAUGUUAUCUAUGUUAAAUUUUCAUUUUUUGUUAAUGAAAUUAGUUAAUUGAAUGAGUUUUACGCUUUAUUACAUUAAGAUUUUUUGAAUUAUCUAAACAUCUUAUUCCUUUUUCCUUACCUAUUAUUUCAUCGUAAUUACUUACACUACCAUUUUUUUUUCUUUGAUUAGGUUAAGAAUUCUCAUUUUUAAGCAUUUGUUUCUAGUGUCCAUUAAUUUAUGUAUUGUGUAAUUAUUAAAAACUUCAGGAUGGUGUCAUUACUGCAUGGAGAGAAAGCACUAAAGCUAAGUCUCCUUUUGAAUUGGUUGAAUCACUGAUCGGUCAUACUAAAUCCGUGGUUUGCCUAAGUGUUGGACGUAAUAUGUUGUACUCAGGAUCCAUGGACCAAAGCAUAAAGGUAUGUCUAUAGUGAGUUGAUUUUGAAAUAUUAUUUUUUUCCCUUAUAUCAUGUCAACUUUCCUUGAAUUAUAAAGUGAUCAAUUCAAUUGUCAUUCACUGCCCAAAUCUUGUUACCCUUCUUUCUUCAGGCUUGGGACAUGGAUACAUUACAAUGUAUAAUGACACUCAAUGAGCAUACUGGUGUAGUCACAUUCCUUCUUUGUUGGGAGUAUUAUUCGUUCUCAAGUUCAUCUGACGGCACAAUUAAAAUCUGGGAAUACAAGGAAGUGGGAACUAAUUUGACUCUGGUAUAUACACACAAGGAGAAAAGUGUAAGAUGUCUAAUCAUUUGUUUGUAUUUUUCUUAUAAAACAAUCUAACAAUAGUCUUGAAGAAGUUGGUCAAUUCUCAAAAUUCAUAUUGUUAUUAUACAGGGUAUUAUAUCACUAUUUGGGAUGCAUGAUGCAAAUGGCAAGCCAAUAUUGUUUUCCUCUUGUACAGACAAUUUAGUUUGCAUGUACGAAUUACUAUCGUUAGUAAACUUGAGUCAUAUAUAUUUUUAUACUACUACAUUUUACUUGUUGAAUAUUACUACAUAUCUUAACCAUGCCCUUUUCCUAUAUAGAUUUUCAGAGAGAGGUCGUUUAUUUGCUAAGAAAAAUAUUGAAUCAUUUGAAUUAGGCACUGAUGGAGGACUCUUCUUCACUGGAGAUGGGACUGGUUUGCUUAAGAUAUGGAAAUGGAAUGAGUUACCUAAGGUGACACAUCAAAUUAAGAUGUUUUCUAUAUUCCUCAAACGUGAAGCUUUCUUUUGUUACCAAAGUACAUUGCGUUCUUCAUUCUUAUGCAUGCCAUCUUGUCUGACAUCUCACAUCAUUAGUACAGUUACAUAGUUUAUCCAUUGCAUUUUUUUUCAUAACACUUGUUUAAUUGGAAAUUCAUCAUCUUAACUCUAAGUUCCAAGUUUGUCACUGAUAUUUUCUUAGCACGUUGUUGAUAUUUGUUUCGUGACCAUGAUUAUUUGUUGGGAAACUUCACACACUACACAUGUAGUUUUGACACCAUGACACUUAAGGAAGAUAGUUUUUUUAGCUAAUAUACUUAAAUAAGAAAUGAAAUAUUUUCUGUUAUGUUUCUAUGGUGACAUUCACUGCAUUUGGUUAUUGGAGAAUUGUUUGUCAAUUGCAAAAAAUAAAAAAUAAAAAAUUGACACCCCUUUGAGACUAUAUGUUACUGGAAGAGAGACACUCAUUUGAGACCAAGUGCAAAGCAUUAGGUUACUGGAGAAUUAUCUGUCAGUUAAAUAAAAAAUAAAAAAUAAAGUUAGAAUUUUCUCUUAGUAAAUUGGCACUCCUUUAAGACCAAGUGUGGCAAGUGCAAAGCAUCUGAGUGGAAGAUUCAUGCUUAGUUGGCAGGUAAGUGCCUUCUAGGCCAGAGAAACCUAAGAGAAAAUAUUUUAUAAAUAAAAAGUAAAGUUAUAAAAAUAAUCUAUCUUAAUGUCUUGUGUCUUACCUUGACUAAUCAUUGCACUCAAGGAUCCAACAAGUUAAUUAUUGUUCAAAAAACAUUGUGAAAUGUGUGCUUUACCAUUUCUCCCUCUCGAUUAUGUCUACGCCUUCACCUUUAUCUUCACAGGAUCUAGGUGCAACAAUGACUGGAUUUGGAUCACAUGUCGUCUGAUGAGUCAAUAUUUUACACCAUUAACUUAGUUUUUCGCGCCGAAUUGUGUUGAUGAUUUGCGCUUAAUUCUUAGUUAUUGUGUCAUUUUCACCAUUUGGGCUUAAUUAGACCAAUAAUUCACAUUUUAGUUAAUUUGAAUUAUUUGAGCUUAAUUAUUCCUAUUUCUAUUUUCAGGGCAAUUUUGGAACUAUACUUUGGGACUUUUGGAAGAGCACCAAGCAAUUAAAGAAUUUCCACAAGACAAAUUAGAUUUAAUCUAGCUUAGCUUAGUGAUUUAGAUUUUGUUAAUGAAGUUUUGUAAUAAUUGGGCUAAUUUUGUAGAAUAGCCAAAAGCCCAAUAGAAAAAAAAAAAAGAGAUGACUUGUCUUUAGGGUUUGGGUGGACCCCACCCUAAAUUUUUGGUGACACAUACAUGGCCCUAGGGAUCUGAGCCGUCACUGACGGGACUGGAAAAAGAAGUUCGUUUUUCUUCUUGUUUUAUGCUUAUGAACGUUUUCUGGAAAUGGUGAAGGUUCACAGUUUUUGGUUUCAUGGAUAAUGAUGAGCAUACUUUGGUUUCCCUUUCUUUUUCUUGCAAGUGUCAUUAUCUAUGUUGAAUGAAGUUGAAUAUUUUUGUUUGCUACUGGAACAUUGUUUGAAUAGGAUUGGAAAGGGAAGCCGUCACUUUGCAAUUUGAAGGGGGUCUCGGUAUUUUCAUUGGGCACACAUUCUUUUGCUGGUGAUAUACAUGUGAAAAGAUGAAGCAUAUUUUCUAUUGAGUUUAUCACUGUUCCGAUGUUGAUUGAUGGGAGGCAAUGAGAAUGAGCUCACGGUUCUUUAGGUAGUUGAAUGAGAAAAGCACAUUUUUUUUCCCUUUACUUUUCACUGUGUGCAAGGGCUGAAGCUUUUAUUUUGAGGUUAUUAUUGAAUGGCACGGUACAAUCAAUUGCCAAGGUCUCUUUACUCUACUUGUCACACGUUUAUUAGGUGAGAAAUUGUAAUAGUGAAGGCUGGAAAUAAUUUUACGUGACUGAAGCUAGUUGUGCUGUAUGGUGAUUAAAUGUGGGGAAUUCUUCAGUUUUUAUUAAGUGAAAAGUGGAGUAGAUGAAACUUUUGGAGAUGGGACGUUGCUGCUGGAAUAGGGGGCACUGUUCACGUGGAUUAAGCUUGCUUGCAUUCAAUUCUAUUUGAUUAUUUGGAAGUGAAGUGGGUCCAGAGCUUUAUUUCUUGGGAGCUUAAAAUUGGAGUAAGCAUUGCAAUUGUAACAUCUUAGGAAGCCACGCAUGCUGCAAGGAAUUAGUUAGGUUUAUGGAAGCAUUUAUUUUAAUUGGAAAAGGCAUGGCUGCCAGCUUCUGUUGCCACGGCAUUCCAGAAUUUUUGAAGAAGCAAUUCAAUUAAUUAAGGAAUGAAUGAAGUGGUACAGCAACCUUGGGUGCAGCGUUUCACAAAAAUUGGGGAGAGAGGUCCGGCAGCUUUCUAGCAAGGAGAGUAGGUAGAGUUAGGUAGCUUGGUGUCCUUUGUGAGGUGACUUUUGGAAGCAAAAUUCUUGUUGGUGGGGUACACGGUUAUUGCAGCAGAGGUGUCUUUGAUGAAGCUCAAAUUUUUCUUUAAUGUUUAAUUGGAGAAACACACUUCUUUCCAAGAAUUGGAAGUCUCGGUAAGGGUGCAUCCACGUGUGGGAUAAUUGCCUUUGUUGGAAGCAAUUUAACUUUGUUAAUUGGGAUUCUUACUUGGAGUAAAUGAGAUGGAAUUGAACCAUAGUGUGUCACGGCCAGAGGUUGAUUUUUUGGGCCAAUUGCAAUUUCAAUUUCUUAGUAGAGGUAAGUGAGGUCAAGUGAGUUGGAAAAAAAAUAUAUGUCGUUUAAUUUCUUUAGCUUUAAAUUAGUUUGCAUUGUAGGAUUAGUUGUUUUUAAUUUCUUUAAUUUAGUUUUGCAUUUAAUUUAACUGUGUUUAGAUAAUUGUUUGUUCUAGUAUUUGGUUUAGCAUUUUCACUCUCUGGACUCGUUUUUAAAAAAAUAACUGCAACCAGACCAGAGCUCCAAAUUCUACGUUUUAUAUAUCAAAUGAAAGAUAAUUGAGUCUACUUUCCAGGAAAAAAAACCUCAUCUCAUUUAGAGCUCUGUAGAAAAAGUUAUGGUUAAAACAUUGAGCAAAGGUCAGAGCUGCCUAGUCCCAGCGUGAAAUUUCGUUUUUACUGUUUUAAUUUCAUUUUAAUUUUUCUGCAUCCACAAACAACAUUUCAAAACCCCCCCACUGUGUUAGACUCGAUUCCUGAACUGCAGUUGGUCCUUGAGAGACGACCUAGGGGUCACUCCCUAGUUUAUACUGCACUUUAAAUGCACAUCAAAUUUGAUUGGGCGGCGACACCCAUCAUCGUCCAACCACUACAUGAUUGAUGAAGCUCACUCUUGUCAUCCAAUUUUUUACAAGUUGAACUUAAUUUCACUGCAUCACAAAAAUGAAGAAAAGUAGAAGUUGAGACAAACUUGAAGAAAAAGACAAAAUGCAAGUUAUUUAAGUUUGUAAUACUUAUAUGCAUGUUAAAAAAUGAUUUACAAACAUGUGAAAAUAUUGUACAUUAUGUAAAUAAAAUUAGUCCCUACUUAUUACUUAACUAAAAAUCCAAUGCUUAUUACCAUCUAGUAUAUUUACUUAUUACUUAACUAAAAAUCCAAUGCUUAUUACCAUCUAGUAUAUUUCCAUAUUACUUGUGACUAAGAUCCACCAAAUAAUUUUGAAGCCGAGAAAACUAAAAAAGCAAAUAAGAAAAUGGGGAACUUAAGAGAAUGUAUACAAGCAAAUGGUAAUGAUCCAUGCAUUUUACUGACAGAAAUCGAUCCAUCAGUUUUUAAAUUCUUUUAAACUUAAAAGCAUGUCAUUUUAUAAAAUAAAAAGACCUAAGUACAACUUUUUUUUUUUUAUAAAAUCAUGAAUCCAAACAUCUAGUUAACUAUUAUAAAGAUUCCUUAAAAAAAUAUUAUGCAUAUGGUGGAAUCGCAUUGAUCAACAUGGUAUUUGAAAAGAAGAAUAAAGAAAUCCAAAUCUGCAUGGUGAAGUCAAAAGGAAGUGAUUCGCUUUAAACUAAACCAACAUUGGAAUUGACCGUUUAUUUUGAGGGAAGAAUGGCGCUGACAUUUUAUAUGAAUGAGGAACAACACUAAGAAAAGCCAGAAGGCCUUUCUGCUAUAGUUCUGUAUCCUUCACAUUGCUAAUAAUCAUUUUAGAGUGUAUUGAUCCUUACGAAUGAUGCUGGUAAUACAAGUUCAGCCAAGGUUGUGCUUCUUGGAGUUCCAGGGACACUGUUAUUUCCAACAAUAACUAAUUAAGCAUCUCCCAUAUACAUUCAAUCCUCAUUUGUAUCAUUGUCAGAUAGAACCGAUUGCUCAAAUUCAGCAUCCAUAAUAAUCCCAUCCAUAAGAUGCACAACAAUCUCUUUUUUUCUAACAUCUACUAUUUCUGAUCGAAUCCUGUUAACAACAAGCAUUUCGUCGAUGUCUUUUGAAAUGUACAAGGGAAACCCGGAUAACGAAUCAUAGUUCACAAGCUCACCCAAUUUCACAUUAGAGGAAAGAAGUGCACGAGGGACAGUUGAAAAUCCCAAUAUACGAGUCAAAAUCGCAUAAGUAUCAUUAAACCUGUCCGAUUUCAAAGAAUCGUUCACUAACAGACACAGAUCUCGCUUAAACGCUUCCUCGGACGGAACAAACACAAUAAAAACAAGAUCUUGAGGCAAUAUGUCAAUCAUCAUUUCUCCAAACUUGCCCAAGUUGCCAUCUUGAAGGGAAACUUUUCUGGAUCUCGUUAUUGGGUAAAACCCCAUUGCACUUUCCUUUGUUGGGGCGUCUGGAAGCUUGAGAACAAUCAUGGUCACGAUUAAAAAACAACAGACACACACCAACAUGCUUACAAGAGCAAUUGAAUGUUUCAAAGCUUGACGCCUCCUCAUUUUGAUAAAACUCAAGAUCCCAAUAGUUGAAUAGUUGCUAUUCUGAAAAUCAAGAUCUUAACUUUUGAACUUGAUCAACAAAAUCCAGCACCUGAGUAUCUAAACAAGAAAAGGAGAGUCAAUGUUGAAGGGUCAUAAUAAACGAAACUAAACAAAGUACAAUAUCCAUUAAUAAGUGAAUCUUUAAGGGAUUAAAAACUACUGGGAACUCAAUUGAAGUCAAAUGAUCAAUUGAUAAUUUGAAAUUAAAGUCUUUUAAAGGGUAAUUUAUAUAUACUUUUAGGAGUAUUAGGCAUUACGAGCUGUUUCUUCUUUCAUUAUUUCAUUUUCUUCUUUUACUUUUACUUUAACUAAACUGUUUAUGCAAAUAUUCCUUCGAGAAAACACGGAUCACUUAAAUAGCUUGCUUUCAGAAAAACGAUAGCUAACCCUCAGGUUCACCCCCCCUAUGCUCUUUCCAAAAUUAAUCUAGCAAAUAGAACCUACACACACAUCCUUUUCUUUAUGUUAUUUUCCACAUAUAUGUAGGAAACAUGAAAUUGGAAAAUGACAAAUACAAAUAAAACAGGAUCUGAAUGCCUAGAUUAAAUGCAAAAAAAUAACCUUCCUUACAUUUUUCACUCGAACGGUCAAUUUUUGAGUUUCGUCUCACUAUUUUUGCUUAUUCUCAAUUUAGUUCCACCUUAGUAAAACCGAACAUGUGGUGUGGAGUUCAUUAAUGGGAUAGAAAGGGAUAUAUAAUAAAAAAAGAGAGACAGAGUGCUCUAAUUAAAAGUUUUCAUACUUCUUGACUAUAACACUUUGACACCAUCGUGGGAUUUAGUGAAACCUUUUCUCAUGCCAAUUUUUUUCAAGGAAAUCCUACUCCAACAUUAGGUAAUGACAAAAUCACAUUUUCAAUUCCUUUGUAGUACAAGAUUGGUUAAUAAAAGAUGAUAUAAAGUAAAUUUUGUAAUUUGUGUUAUGUGCAUAUUUUUUAUGCAUACAUCAUGUCUCUCUAAUUUUUACUUGGAAGCCAUGCGUAAGAGUUAUCACGGAGAAACCAUUCUAAGAACUUAGGAUAUAUGUCUAAUGAGACAACCAACCAUUGUGAGAACUCUUUCUGGAAUCAUUGUGAGAGCUCUCUCACUAAGCUAAUGAGAGCUUUCUCAUCGAGUAAUAGUAGGAAAGAAAUCAAUUAUUUGUUUAAGAAAAUAUAAUGACAGACAAAAUUCUAACAUAUAUUAAAGAUUAGUUUUAUUGCUCGAGAGAUUGUAUGGUAAGAAAUAUGAUUUCGAAUUACCAACUUUAAAGCAAGUCUUCUCUCUUAAAUACUAAGUCUAUCUAUCGGUUCAUAUUUGUAGAAAGUGGUCUGAUAACAAUGUAAUCACUUAUUCGAAAUAAUGACAAGUAUUUUUUCUAGUUUUAUGAAAGGUUUUUAAUUACAAAUAUCUUAUUAAUUAUGACAAGUAUUUAUCUUUACGAAAGAUUUUUAAUUAUAAAGAUAUCUUAUCAACUGGAAAAAUGUUCUUUCAGACUUUUAUCUAGUCUUAUCUUUAUCUAGUUUUAUAGUAUGAACAAUUUUAACUUUGGGGCUAUACCGUGUUAGACCCAUUUCCCACUAGCAUAUUCUUGACCGCGUGGGAGAUCACAUAAAUACGGAAUAAGCAAUAAUGAAAUUAUAGCAUUUAUGUCAAAUCGUGACGGGACGAUAAUCCAAAAAACGGACAAGUUUGGAAAAGAGAUUUGGAGUCGUUAUCAUAAUUUAUUAGGGAAAACUACGGAAAAACCAUAAAGAAAACGGUCUACGAAAACCAGAUUCUAGGUUCAGGAGUCGGUUACGCGUAGGGAAAGUAUUAACAUCUUGUCCGAAGACAGUACCUUUAAUUAAAUACGUGAAUGUGAUGUAGUUUUCAAAAUGUUUAACUAUCCAAAAAAAAACACUCUAAGGAAACAAACGAUAUUGUUUAGCCUACAUAUUCUCAUUCAGAAUGAGAAAUCAGGAUUACGUAGUUCUUUUGAAAUUAUGUUUGAAUAAUUGUUUGAAAAAAUUAUUUUUGAAAAUUGAUUGGAAAUUUGUUUGGGUUUUUAGGAAGUAAACAUAACAAGGACUGACCUUACUCUUACAUAUCUCCACUCUAGGUGGAGAAUCAACGAUCACAUAGUUUUAGCAGAAAAAAUUGUUUGUUUGUUUAAAUUAAGAACUGACCUUGUUUAACUUUUAAAACAUAUUUUUGUAUUUUUAUUUUGUAGUUUCUAUGUAUUUUCCAUGUGUUAUUAUAUAUUCCUAAAAAUGUAAACAUUUAAAAUAAAAAGAUGAUUGAAAAUUAAGAAAAGGCCCAAAAUGUUAUUGGAGAGGUUAAAAAAAAGGCUGCAUAGAGAAAAAGAAAAAGACAAAAACAAAAACAGAACCAAAGUUGCCAAUGGGCUCGAGACUCGACUAAGAAAAGGAAAAAAAGAAAAAGGAGAAAAUGGGGGUGCCAGGAUGGAAAACAGGGAUGCCCAACCCAUUUUUUUUGCAGAAACGAAAUAGGCUUGAGCCCAAGCUAAAGGAAAAGGGAUUGUGGUGCACGUAUGAGAAACGGGGGUGUGAAUGGGAAGUGGGUGCGCAGAAGAAGAGAGUUUUUGCUUCUUAGUUUUUUUAAAAACAAUAAAACGGAUCAGAAACUUAGGCCCAAGGCCUUUUUCGCUCCUAAGCUCAGGAAACCCUUAGGGGUUCUCACAUAUUCCACCAUUCAGAACCUCACACACAAAGACUGACCUAGAGGAUAGCCUCUUCCUCCGAGCGAAAAAACCUAGAAGCACCCACUUGCACUUCGCCUUCUUCUAUCAACCGGCCGCCGCGAGCCGCAGUUCACGGCUUAGCCAGCAACGACGCGCGCCGCCGGAGCUAUCGUCACCUGGCUGCCACCGUAUCAACCGCCACAAGCCGCUGUCCACCGCUCAAAAUUCUCUCUUCUCCUUCUCUUCGCGCGAGGGAAAAUGACUCCCUGGGACGCGUACUCCUCGUCACUGGCGAGACCAGCCGCCGCCUCUUCCGGAACUGGCCGCCGCGAGUCGCAGGCCAGAGCGCCGCCGGCCGCAACGUCAAAGUCCUCCUCUUCCUUUCUGCGUUAGAGAGAAACCCUCCAGCUCCUCCACUGCAAACUUUCCGAGUUGAAGAUAGCGAAUCGCAAUGUUUUGGUGUGGCCAGAUUGGAGUUCGAAUCGAAGAGAUUGGGUUGAGGAUGAAAAGAACACCAACUGUGUUUAGGACAAUGAAUCUGUGUUUGGGUACAUACCCAUUUUUCCUCAUUUGUAGUUUAUGUUUCUACUAACUAGUGGUUGUUAUUCUUCUUGAACUGAAUUUUGAGUAAGGACAGAUAUAAUAGGAUGUAAUGGAGAGAAGUGAUGAUAUUGAUUCACAUACGCAGAUAAAGGCAAGUGAGACUAGGAAACUAAGAUAGGAAGACUUACCGUCGUAGCUCAAGAAAUUUUCUUCUUAGCUCUCUCACAUUGUGCUUUCGCUAUGUUGCCAGUGAUGAAUCCGGGCAAAUGAUGCCAGAUAAUGGUUGGUGUUGGAGGUGAAGAAUUGAGAGUGAAAGGGAACCGUGAUUCAGGUUAGGAUGUUGGGAUGGGUUUUGUCUGAUGGGAAAAUUGCUGAGAAGUUCUCUGUUGACUGACUAGAGGAGUUGAGAGUAGUGUCCCCUGGGAUGAAUGACGCCUGCCAUAACUUGAAGAUCUCUUUUGUUUCUUCCGCUCUCUCUCUCUCUCUCUCUCUCUCUCUUUUUUCCCUUUUACAGGCUAAUCCCAUUAAAAGCACAGUAACAUUUGCACCCAAAAAGGGUGAUAGCAUGCAAAAAGAAAAGGAAGGCAGAGUUGACCUUUCUUUUUGUAAUUGUUCCAUUUUUGUUUUUUUUUUGUUUGUUUUUUUUUCUUUUCUAGAAUGUUUAAUAAAUAAAUUAAGUAAAAGAAGAUAAAUAAUAAAAAACUAAGGUACAAAUAGAAUAAAAUAAACUCUCUAAAUAAACAGAAAAUUAAAAUAACAAAAUAAAAGUAAAAUAACAAAAAUUAAAAAUGAAACAGAAUAAUAGAAUAAAAUACAAUAAUUCAAUAACAGAAUAAAAUAACUUAAAAUAAAAUUAGAAUAAAAAUAAUAUAAAACAAAAUAAAGAAAAAUAGAAUACAAUAAAAUAAACAAGGUAUGAUGGGUAAUGAGUUUAGGACAAAAGAAGGAGGUAUUGUAUAAAUAGUAUUCUAUUAAGUUAUCUGAGUAGUUUUUGAGUAUUAUUUUGUAAAGUUUUGGACCAUUGGUAAGAAGAGAGGAUAGACCUCUGUUGUUAUUGUUUUUGUUUAUAGUUACAGCGAUUAUAUACUGGCGUGAGUGAGUAUUGCGAGAAAAGUUAAGGUUCUAAUUCAGAAACUUAACAGUUUAUGUCUUAGAUAUAUAAAAUUGAGUCUUCUCUUUAAUGGAUGAUCUUCUAAACUAUCAAACCCCAAAUUCUAUUACAUUCACUCGAUUUUCAGUUCAAUAUUGUUUGGUGAGUUAAAAAACUCAUAAAAGAAUGACGAACCUCCUCAUAUAAACCAUAAGUACAUGGUUCUUAACCUAAACUCCAUUCAAUAUCUAAUAUCUUAUAGCUUGACAACAAAACACAGGCAAUGAAUAAAGUCUAAAGGAUAGAAAUAGUAAUAGUGACACCAAGAACAGAUUUCCCAAACAUCAACUUCAAAGAUCCCGAGACCAAAAAAAACCAUUAAUCCUUCUAACAUUGAAAAAAUUCUUUCAGAACAACACCGAUCAUUUAAAUAGCUUGCAUCCAAAGCCACGAUUGCUUCACCCUCCUAAUUUAUUUCCAAAAUUAACCUCGCAACAAAAUCUAUACACGUACAUAUAUCUCUUUCUUUUUUAUUUUAUUUUUUACGCAAAAUGCAGGAAAUAGGAAAACAACGAAUUCAAACAAAACCGAAUUUGAGAAGCCAACACACGUAUGGAAGUCCCCGAGAAAAAAAACUUUUCCGAAAAAAAAAAGAAGGAAAAUUCGUUGCUAAAAAUGAAACAAUCUUAAUCAUUUGGUCGAAGGAGUGAGUUAUUAUGGGUUUGCUUUUAGUACUACUCUAAAAAAUCUCUUAUUAAUGGAGGUAUGUAUUGUGUAUAUAAACUCAUGUCCGACCCUUCAUUUAUUCGAUGUGAGACUUUGUUUCUAUCCAAACAUGGAUUGGGUCUGACAUGUGAAAGUGAAAGUUUAAUGUUAUAACAUAUUGAUCUUUUGGGCCUUGUCCUUGUGUGCCUUUGUCUCAGUCACAAAUUGUUGGGUCCGACGUGUGAAAGUAAAAGGGGUGUUGUUCCCUCCAUCACCCCAAGUGCUCAUCACCUCCCCAUUAUUUUCUUUUAUUCCAAAAAUAUUAUACAUCUCUCAUUGUUUUCUUUUAUUCUAAAAAUAUCCUACACUUUCUUGUUAUCCUUAGUAAUCUUUCUUUUUCUUUCUUUGCAUUAAUGAAACAUUUAUCACUUCCACAUAAUUCUCAACAAUCUUUCUUUUUCUCUCUCUUCAUUAAUGGAGCAUCCACAUGGCUUAGAUUUGAACUUGUGAUAUAUUGCAAAAUAUAAAAUUGAAAGGAAAAUUCAAUAUCAAUGCUUCUACCAUUUCCAUUUUAUAAACUUAAAAGUUAGAUGCAAAUACAAAAUAAUAAACAUAAUAAUAUUAAUAGUAAAUAAUANUAAUAUAUUAUUAUUAUUAUAUACUAAUUUUAUAAUGUCAAAAGAACUAAAUAAAUUUCAAAUCUUUAACAAAUAACUUUUCUUUUAUAUUUUAAGUAUUUAAUAAUAUUUUUAUAUUAUUUAUCUAAUAAAUUAAAUACUUUAUUCAAGUUAUUCUUCACAUGUUUAAAUCUGAGCCAUAUGAAUGCUCUAUUAAUGUGAAGAGAUAAAGAGAAAGAUGGUUAAGAAUCAUGAGGAGAUUUACCGUAUUUUUGUAAUAAAAGAAAAUAGUGAGAAGGUAUAGAAUAUUUUUGGAAUAAAGGAAAAUAGUGAAGAAGUGCAGAAAUACUUAGGAAGAUGCAGGAACACUUGGAGUGACGGAGGAAGUAACACCCAAGUAAAAGAGAGAUUAUUAGUUUAUUUAUGUUUAUUUUUAUUUUUAUUUAUUUUUCAUUGGUUGGGUUCCGACAUGAUAUUUUUAGUUUUUAAAUGGAAUAAUUAAAUCAUGCUAAUUAACCACCGUUACAUUAUUUUAAGUAAAAUUUAUCUUAGAUUACGUAUUAUAAUAUUCAAAUUAAACUUAUGAUCUUAUGUAACAUAAUAGUUUUAUGCUAUAAUCUUAACAUGCUAUACUUUAAAAAGACUAUUACAAAUUUCUAAAAUAAAUUAUACUUCUCUAUCUUAAAUUCAAUAUCAGCUAUUUAAAGAAUGAUUUAAAAUAUGAGGGAAUAUAAAUUAGGAGAAAUAUAAAAUAUAACAAAAACUAAAAGCAAUUUUUUUGAAAUUUGAAGGAAUGGAAGAUAUUUUUUUAUAUAAAAAUCAAAGUUAAACCUCAUUGAUUUUACGUGAACCAAACUACAUUAUAGAAAAUCCUUUUCCAUAAUGUAUUUCAUCUUAUUCCAGAAAUUCUGAUAUGAAAAUCUGAUUUCAGAAAUUCUAUUUCAAAUAUUUUCUUUUAAAAAUUUCAGAAAGUUUCUAAAAUAUGGUAAAAUAGUCAUUUCAAGAAAUAUAGUGGGAUAUGCAAAGAAGUUGUGGGGUGCAGAAAUAAAAGCCUUUUAUUUGGUUAGGUAAACAGUAUUAUUUCAUAUUGAGCCUUGAACUAAAAGCGUAAUACGAGAAUAACAUGUUAAGAAGUUGGGUGCUUCCAAUUUUACUUUUCUUUCUAAUUUGACCCUUUUAGUACUAAGUGCUUAAGGUUGGGUGUUUCAUCCUGUGUUUCCAACCAUUUCACUCUAUAUCUUUAAUUUUCAUGAAUGUCCUCUAAUUUAUUAACAUUUUAAUUACAGAGCUUAAUGAGAAUUUUUUAAAAAAAUUUGGAAAUGCAUGUUGAACUCUUUGGAGGUGCAGAUGAAAUGUCCUCUAAUAUUUUCUUUUUCUACACUUUCGAACCUUUCUUUUUCUUUUUUCCAUUUUAUCCUUUUAAUAAUAACAAAUUGUAUUAUGUAAUUCAAGUGAACUAAUUAGAGCAAGAAAUGCGAUUAAUUCUUUUGAGGGUGUAAUUGCUAGAUUUAAUACUUCGGUGAACUAAUUAGAGCAAGAAAAAAAAAUAUAUCUUGAUUAGGUUUUUAUAAUUCACGAAAAAUCAUAAUUUAUUAGAUUUUUAUAAUCAUAUUAUGUAUAUUUUAUGAUAAUUAAACUAUUUAAAUUUAUAAUUUUAUAUUAAAUGUUUGUAAAUUACUUGUCAUUAAAUAAUUUAGUUUAAAUGAUUAAUAAAAACGAUAGUAUUAAUAAUAACUUUCCUUUAAGAUAAGCAUACACAUUAAUGUGGAUAAUAGCAACGAUACGAUUGUAUUAAUAAUGACUAAAAAAUAUAUCAUCUAACUUUCUUUUAUAUCUCAUACGUUACAUGAAAUAUUAUAACUCAAAUGGUAAACAAAACAAAUAAUGUUGAAGUUUAGAGAUUGCCUUUUGAAUAUAUUUAUAUUGUUUUUAUCCCAUAAAAGUGUCUUCAUGAAUAUCUCGUAGUUAUCAUUGGACUAGUUGAUUUUCCAUAGGAGACUUUAGCCUUUUAGCAUUAAUAUAUUAAGAAAGACUAAUGCCAUAAUGUUCUAUCAAUCCUAAUCCUAAUUAUGUAAUUUUAAUAUUUCUAUAGAAUAAUAGACAUGUUUUAACGGUGGUCCUAAUAUCAUAUUAGAAGUGAGUUUUAAAGCUAAUUCAAUUUUUACAAAAUAGAUUUAUAAAAUGAAAUUUAUAACAAUUUCUAUAUUAUGAAUUGGUUUUAUCUCUAGUCGAUGAAAAUUUCAACACUUUAAUAAAUAAAUAAAUUUCAAGAAAAGACAAGUUUUAAGUAUUUUUCAAGCAAAAGAGUAACCCUCAAAUAACGGGUAAACGAAGCACUAAAUGAUCAAGGCUAGGAAAAAUGUUAAUGCAAAAUGUAGAAUAUCUAUUGCUGAAGUAACAAGAAAAUAAUAAUAUGCUGACGACUGCAAGGAAAUUCUUUUUCUUUUGCUUUCACUUAAAGGUAUAAUGAUUGAAACAAUUAAUUAUGGCAGUAUUAAUGAACCUAAUCCUUCCCUCCAAAUAGAUAGACCUGAACAAAAGUGUAAUUAACAAGAAAGAACCAUUAAUUUAUUUUUUCUUUAUCAGCAAUUUUGUAAACUUGAAAUGCAAAUUAGUUCCAUAAGCAUAUUAAAAAAUUAUGGCAUGACAUUUGAGUCUGUGGCUUAUCAACACAAACCUGUGGCCCUAAUUUGGCAGACGGUCUCGAAUGAUUAAUUUAUUAUAUAAUUUAACAUAUGGUAUUGUGUCAUUAGUGGCUGUACUUUGAGGAUAAGAAUAAUAUUAGAAAAAACAAUGCUUCGCAAGAGAAAUAAUCACCCACUUUGUAAAGUUUUAUCCACACAUUUAUUCAAAUAUAUGGUCUGUUUCUCUUAACAUGAAAAGGACUGCUAAUGGUGACCACAGAAAGCCAUCAUUUCGAGAACAAUAAAUUAUUGUCAAAACAGUGACACAAGAACCACUUUAUACGAGAAGUUUCUAAGGUUUCAAAUUUAAAAUAUAUAUUAUGGUAAAUCUUUCUAUUUAUUGUAUAUUAAUUAUAUCCCUAGCUACGAUAGGUUCCCAGGUUUUGUUUUUCCCCAUCUUGGGUUAGAGAAAAUUGAAAGUUGUAAUUACAAUUAAAUUGAUAAUUAUAUUAAUUGGCGGCUUGCUAUUUUCUAAUAUAAUUGAAUAAGUGUUAGGUAUCACAUAACUAAAAUAAUGAAGUUAUAAGGACCACAAAUUAUGCCUGUAUAAGAUUUCGUAUUGUUGUACAAACAUCUAAAUAUAAACAAUUUAUAUGUAGACAUUAAGAAAAUACUGUACUUGUACCCCUUAAAAUCCAAGUAAAUACUUGCUCUUACUUUGGCAUGUAACUUGAUAUCAAACUUUAUAUAAUUAAGAUAAUAUAUAAUCACCUAAUAGUUUCGUAUUAUAUCUUGAUGAUAGAUCGGCCAAGAAGAAUCUGGAAUCAAAACAAAUAACUGUGAUCAGAUAAACACGGAAAAGUAAAAAUCAUUAAUGACCAAUUAAUAUGUUUAAUGGUCAUAUUAAAUGUGAAUAUACACUAUUUAUAAGUGAUUGACAGGUCAUAUUGCACAAGAAAGUAUUAAUGGACAACUAACAAGUAUUAUUGAAUUUGAUUUUCUGAUUUAAUGAUUAAUCUAUGUGUUUCGCUGCCACAAACCUUAAAAAAUAUAUUAUUCACCUUCAAGAUAAAAUAAGUUUGAGCCAUCCUAAAUAAAAUAUAGACCUUUAUAUACAACAUAUAUGACUUGAGCGUCAGAAUGUCUUUUACAGGUACACUUCCCAUCGGAGGAUUGUGUUUUCAGAAAAGAUUAAAACAACUCAAAGGGAGCAUAGAAGAAAGGUCAACCUACCCUCAAACCUAUCCCACCGAAACAAGUUUGAUAUUUUUUUUUAAGAUGCUUUUAUUUAGUUUAAUGUUUUAUUUUUCUCCGUAUAUGAAUGAUGUUUUAUUUAUUGGAACAAAUAGAGAUAUUUCAUUGUGUUCAUAAAUUUUCUGAAAACAAAAUAGACAGAGAAACCAAAAUUUGAUAGGGAAGUGAAGAAUCUAAGUGGAGUUGUGAUCCCUCACUCAAACAGAAAGCAUAAUGCAAAUUGCUAAAAGGGGUUCAGAAAAUGCCUAGCUAUUUUGUGUGUGUUUCUCAAUUAGAAGCCACGAGACAAAAAAUAUAAAGAAGAGGUAGGACCCUGCCACCCGAAAUCUGCCUGGAGCUGAUGCAUCCCUAACCUUGUGCCUUUUGCCAGAGUAGAAUCACCCACUAAUAAAUUUUCCAAAAGAUUCCUAUGUUUUUGCUCACAAUUCAAAACUCAAUAUCAUCAACAACCCUUCCUUUUAUUAAUCUUAUCCUUACAAGUCACUCACACUAAUCAACCCACUAAACUAAUGCAUAUUAGCUAACUAAUACUUAUAAACAACAACGCUCCAACCAUAUUCAAAUUCUUUAUUUUCACGACUUUUGUAUAUCUCUACGUAUUACCAGAGGAAAAGCUGCAAUUCUUAUUAUUAUCCACCAAAAAAAUUGAAAGCUACUGUUAAUGACAUGUCCUAUAUUAACAUAUAUAUAUAUAUAUAUAUAUAUAUAUAUAUAUAUAUAUAUAUAUAUAUAUAUAUAUAUAUAUAUAUAUAUAUAUAUAUCAUCAUUGUCUCAUCCACGAGAAAGAAACAAAAUAUGUUAAAGGGCUCAAUUAUAAUUUUAAUGUAGAAUUAACAUUAUUUAAUAAUGGACGUGAGAUAAGUUAAUCACUGACAUCCAUGUGCCGACCAUGUUUUAGAAAUGGAAAAGGAAGAAAUGUUUGUAUAUAAUAAUUUACGGACAAAAAACCUUCUGUGUUCAUCAUUAUCGUUCUAUUCUUUUUGUUUUCUGAAAAACCCUGUUCAUCUAAUCAUUGAUGAAUAUUUCUAAUUUCCCUGCAACUCCCUACCAUAUCGUCUGAAGUGGAUUUCGUGUUUUCAUAAUAACGUUGGUAAUUACUACUAUAUAAACAACUAUUUAUUUAUCGAAAUGAUGAGAUGGAUUUGCGAACACGAACAACCAAACAUUUGUUUCUAAUAGCAACGGCAUCUUCCUAUUUAUUACAUUAAUUGUUGUGUGUACUUGUUUCUUGGUUUAGAAUUAAUAUUCCACAAUAAUCAAUGCAUAUAUAGAAAACUUGAAUUCAUAUUAUUAUAUUAAAUUGUAUUUUAAAGGUAAAAACAAACCGUAAAUUUUCUUUCUUAAAAUACCAGUCGGUGUCUUAAUUAUGUACUGUUAUUUAUUUAUUUAUUUAAGAGAGAAGAUAAUACCUGAGGCAGUAAAUUAUACAUUAAAAAUAAUGAAAACUGAAAAGUAUAAUUGCUUGCAUGGUUAUUUGAUGUGUAGGUUUACGUGUGGUUCAAUGGAGCCAAAUCCUAACAAAGUAAAACUCGAAACAAAAAGAGAAAGAAACUGUAGACACCUGACAGCAGUAACAGCGAACCAACAGUAGGGGGAGUAUUUGCGUGUCGGUUUCAAAUUCUCGAAUGCACCGUGCCAAUGCAUGACGUGGUGACACGUGUCUUUUGCAGGCGCGAGUUCAACGUGAUUAUUUGUCGAGUCUCGACAACAGCACCGCCCAUGAGCGAGCGCAGUGAAGGACCACGUAGAAUUCGGUCCCUGCAAUUGUAUCCGUCAAAACGAAACCUUUUACCCUUCUUCUGUUAACUUUUUUCCAAGUUCCGUUAUUUCAAACCACAGUAAUCCACGUCCACGUUCCAGUGCUGCGCGGAACAUGGUCGGUCUUUCUAGCAGUGGUUGGAAUCACGCCAGCUAGGACAAACCCCAUCAAUCAUUGGUCUCUAUCAAACAAAACAAUAAAAAAUUCAACAUAUUACGCUUGCGGGACCCACUCCCACUACCCUCACCCUCGGUUCUAUUAACUCUAACUCAUUAGGAUUAUAAAUCCGCACCUUCCUCCUUAGCCGAUCACACUCACUCGCUCACAACUCACAGGAAUCCGAGGCAAGAACAGAAAAAAAAAACAUGGAGGGGAAGGAGCAGGAUGUUUCGUUGGGAGCGAACAAGUUCCCAGAGAGACAACCGAUUGGUACGGCGGCGCAGAGCCAAGACGACGGCAAGGACUACCAGGAGCCACCGCCAGCGCCGCUUUUUGAGCCCUCAGAGCUUACGUCAUGGUCGUUCUACAGAGCAGGGAUAGCAGAGUUUGUAGCGACUUUUCUGUUUCUCUACAUCACCAUCUUAACAGUCUUCGGUGUCCUUAGGUCUCCCACCAAGUGCCAAUCCGUUGGUAUUCAAGGAAUCGCUUGGGCCUUCGGUGGCAUGAUCUUCGCCCUCGUUUACUGCACCGCCGGAAUCUCAGGUUCACUUUUUUUUUUCCUCAUCAACUCUAGGAAUUUUAUGUUUUUUUCAGUUGUUUAAGAUAAACAACGUUGCUUGUUUGUGUUUGUGGUGCAGGGGGUCACAUAAACCCUGCGGUUACCUUUGGGCUGUUCUUGGCAAGGAAAUUGUCGUUGACCAGAGCGUUGUUCUACAUCGUGAUGCAAGUGUUGGGUGCUAUCGCUGGAGCCGGAGUGGUGAAGGGUUUCGAGGGAAAAACCAGAUACGGUGCAUUGAACGGUGGUGCCAACUUUGUUAACCCAGGUUACACAAAAGGUGACGGACUCGGUGCUGAAAUCGUUGGCACCUUUGUCCUUGUUUACACCGUUUUCUCAGCCACCGAUGCCAAACGUAGCGCCAGAGACUCUCACGUCCCCGUAAGCGUCUCCCUCUUUCUUCCUCUUAAUUAAUAGAAGUACACAAGUUUGGUGGAACUAAUUGUGUGGUUUUGGUUGAAUACAUAACUAGAUUCUGGCACCUUUACCAAUUGGGUUCGCCGUGUUCUUGGUUCACUUGGCCACCAUCCCGAUCACCGGAACCGGUAUCAACCCUGCUCGUAGUCUCGGCGCUGCCAUCAUCUUCAACAAAGACCUUGGCUGGGACGAUCACGUGAGCUAUUUAAUUUCAUUCUUUCUUUUCUAUUCGGCCAAUUCUAGGGUUUUCUGGAAAACCAAUCUGGACCGUCCGAUCUCUGACGCUAAAUGAUUGUCUUUUUUGUGCAGUGGAUCUUCUGGGUGGGACCAUUCAUCGGUGCGGCUCUCGCUGCCCUCUACCACCAGGUCGUAAUCCGCGCCAUUCCCUUCAAGUCGAAGUGAUCGAAUCAAACGGUUCAUGGUUAACCAAUCAAGUUGGGGGAAAAAAAAAUC
rnacentral:lncRNA from 1 species